UCUUGGUCCUCUUGGUGGUCACUUUCUUAAGGCGUACGCCUCAAUGCAUGAUGGCAGCUAGAGUGGGAGCAUUGUUGCCGAUUGAAGAGAUUGGACCUGGUGGGAAUAGGUCAAUCGGCUUGCCACUCCUGCUGACCGAUGGAGGGGUGUUGUCAACCUGCAAGAUGACACAAAGGUGAAUCACCGAUAGAAUUAAAAUUGAGAAAAUUGAAACAUCGGUUUGAAGAUACUUACAGUAUUAUUGGGGACUUCGUACUCGGGAUCGAUCAUGCCGCGGUACGUAAGAGCCGAUCUGCAGAACAGAUACUCCUUCCAUUCUGCCCACCAUUGUUUGUACGCCUGAGUGAUGAAGGCGACUGGAACCCACUCCGACAAGUUUGCAUCUGUAUCAGCACUUGAUGGCAGUUGGGAUACUCGAAUCCAUUCAAGGAGGCUAGUGAUGGUUGCCCUGGGUUUUAUCACAUCGGCAUAACAGAGUGCAAUCGGCAGCUGGCCGAAAGCUAAUUGACGAGCUAGUGCCGAUGGAUUGUAGAACUCAUAGGUCUAGAUAGAGGUUUUCCCACUGCCAAAGAAAUUCACUGGUAUAGCUCUAGGAGUGAUCAGUGCCAUCAUUACUUCAUGAUCCUUGUUGAGAGCAUCAUUGAACGGGUUGAAAACCAGAGGAAACAUGGUGUCUGGAUCAUCAUAAGGCAACCAUGCUCGCUGCUCUCUGGUCAAGCCCUCAUACAAGGUUUGGAAGAAUCGGCUAAUUUGGUCUGCAUUGCCUCCUGUGCCGGGCAGAACUAUGACAGCCUCGCCAAAGUUUAGGGGAGGGUAGGUUGCCGAUUCUUCUUCAUCCAAUUCAUGGUCCUCGGUUAUAUCUCUAGGGAAACGCUGCGCGAAGAGAUCAAACUCAAGGCGCCUGUGCAUAUGGAGGCUGAGCCACAUGUUAACAAACCACCAGGGACCCCCCAAGUUGCCGAUAGACUGACCGAGCAGGAGUUUCUUGGCUACCUAGUGGAGAAGAUGGUAGGCAGCACCAAGCAAGUAUCGGCCGAGAGGGAAUUGGCCACCGUUUGCCAGUCUCUCUGCUGCCGAUAGAUAGACGGAGGUCGGGCCUGCCGAUCGGCCGCAGAAUACGAACUUGUCCAGCCACAUGUUCAGAAAGGUGGUUUGUUCCUUUAUAUCGACGGACCCCGUUUUGCGGUACUUCUGAAUAUACCCGGACCAGCCGCCGAUGGAGCGGGUUUCUACCUUGGCACUAGGCGUAGUGUCAAAGAAGUGGGUGCUAUCGGUAGAAGAUACGUCUAGGCCGGUAAGCAUAACCACAUCGGCAAGAGUAGGGGAAGCAGGGCCGUGGCCGAAGACAAAAGCAUUGAGUGUGUCUGACCAGAAGUACGAUGCAGCUAUCAACAAUGACUCAUUCCUAUGCAUAUCGGCGAUGGACAAUCUGAUGCAUUGGUCCAGUUUUCUCUCGCCCCAUUUGACUUCAUUCGAGUGGCUAACCCUCAAGAACCAGUCUUUCCAUCCCACGGUAGGACUGGGCCAAGAACGGAAAGUAUCCUUCCAUAGAUCCAAAGAGAAGUUCUCGGCUCUAAAAGGUAUCAUGUUGGUUUCUGCGUUAAUGAGGUCGGUUGGAUCUGGAUUCCCUAACGGACCAAGACAUUGGAGGUGUGGUUGAUCGGUGGGGAUGACAAUUUUGUUGGACAGAUCCUAAUGGUUUUGAAGGUAAAGGAAAAACAAAGAAAGAAAAAUAAAAUGUUCAGUAAAAUGGAUUGUGGAUCAACAGGGAUGCGACAAAAAGCACAAAAAGUGGAGUAAAGAACUAACCUCAGGAACGGUGAAGUUAAUGGCCAUCUUGCCACGAAGAGGAUGAUCGAGGGCUUCGGAGUUGGUGAAGAAGAGAUUUCGUUGGAGAUCUUGGAGCUCUCGAACAGCGCCGCCGCCGGGAAAGUGGAGUUGGAGCAGUGGAAUGAUGUGAUGGGGAAGGAGUACCCGAGAAGGAACUAUUUAUAGGGCAAAACGGGCAAGGGCAAAUCUGACUUAUCUCUUCGCCGUAUCCGUGAAAUCCGAGGGUACUCAGGUAGAUAUGGUAACUGUUCGCACGGUAAUCAAGAGAUUGUGCAGGCGAUUUGACAGGAAGCGGUCAUUAUCUAGAGAUAUUUUACUGUGCGAGAUCUCCUGGUCGGUCCAUCGGCAGCGCCUUGUAACGGUCAUAUUGCCGACGGGCGAAUAGAGUGGGGAUAGCCAUUUGGGAGGAUAAGAUAUGGACGUCUUGGUCAGUCCAUCGGUAAGUCCCUGUAACGGUAAUGUUGCCGAUGCGCGACUAAAGUGGAAAUAUCCGUUUGGGAGGUUGAGGAUUUCGAGGAAUCUACAGAAGAAUAGGAUCAGAGUUGUUCAGAUUAAGGCUGUCGGUUACUAGAUUGGGAGCGUUAAUUGCGGAAAGGCAUCAUUACUGCAGAGAAAUUUCGGAGCAUUAAUGAUUUCAUACUCCGAAAUUGGGGGGCAUGUGUUGACACCGUUUUUGGGCACGUGUCCAUGAUUGGGAAAAUAUAGGUUGGCAAGAUAAGACGGCAGUGCUUGAUCUACAGAGUUGCCGAUGAGGAUGAUUGCCGAUGGAAGGAUGGUUGAACGUGACCAAGUCCAUAGAUGGUGAUGCGUUUGUGCCGAUGGCUAUGACAAGAAAGUCUGCCGAACCUGGAAGUUGCCGAUCGGCUUGUGGGGGUGUUCUAGUUUGUCACGUAAGGAUAGUUUUGCGUUUUCCUUAGUUAUUUAGAUCGUUUUGCAUACGGAUUUUGUUUAAUUUGGAAUCCGAGUUCUAGUCGUGUCUGGUUGUAGCUCUUUGAGCAGGGUAUAAAUGUAGACCCUAGGGCUUUGUAAAAAAGAAUCAAUCAAAUACCAGUUUUUACUCAUAUUCUAGCAUCUACUUUCGACGACUUCGUCAUACCUUUUUUCCUUUUACUACGAGUUCUUAGGAAUUCGUCGACUUAAGCUCGACGUGUUCUCAAGUUCCGCGUGAAUACCUCUUGGCCGUGGCAUCCGGGCGCAUCGCUGUUGUCGGGACCAAAGUAUUCGAGUUACCACCUUUGCCGAUAGUAAGGUCAAAUCGGCUGGCACGCCUUAACGUUUAAAUAGGGUAUUAGCCCUUUGUGUUUGCAGAUCCGCUUUUUGCAUCAACAAGUUCUUAGGUUUUGGGUAUAACUAAACAUUGUUUUGUUCCAUCAAAAAUCCAAAAACUUUUUAUUAUUUAGUUCUAUCAAAAAUCCGAAAACUUUUCAAGAUUUCCCAUCACAUCGAAUAUUGCAGCACAUGAAUGAAGCAUUAAAUAAAUACAAAUAAAAAAUAACUAAUUACAUAAUUUAUCUGUAAUUUGUGAGACGAAUCUUUUGAACCUACUUAGUUCAUGUUUGAACAAUAGCUAUCAAAUCAUCAUCAUCAUCAUCACACUAUAAAAGAGCGAGUAAUUUAUAGGAGGUUACCCCUUCAUAAUAACCGUUUGAUCUAUACAUUAUGCUAUAUGAACCCUCCGUCAUCCAUGAUCUUACAUGUAUAAAAUGUAAAACUCCUUCUAAACCAAGAUUUAUUCAUAAAUAUAUGUAGUCCGAUUUGAAUAUAUAUUUUGGUUCCAAUACAAUACAUGGACACAUUUGCAUCUUCCUAACACAACUCUCGUUCAGAGUCCGUUCAGGAGUUUUUCUCCAGAUAUUUUCCUUUUCGUUUUGAUUUUUCACAUGUCUUUUUUCUCUCUUUAAAUAUACGUAAUCUGAUUUGAAUAUGUAUUUUGGUUCCAAUACAAUACAUGGACACAUUUGCAUAACACAACUCUCGUCCAGAGUCCGUUCAAGAGUUUUUCUUCGGAUUUUUUCCUUUUCGAUUUGAUUUUUCACAUGUCUUUUUUCUCUCUCUCUUUUUCUCUUUUCAAUUUAAGUUCCAUUGUUUUCUCUUUUUCCUUUUUAUUUUAAAAUCUUUGUUGUGUAUUUUCUUUUUGUGUUUUUCCAUUUUCUUUUUCUUCAAAUCGGAAAGCUAUUAGGUUAUAGUAUAAUAAGAUAUGUGUUUAGGUGUAUCACACCGAUAUAUAAAGUAAAAGGAGUAUUUUCUAACCAAUAUUUUCUAUUUUUUUCAAUUUACCCUCAUACUCGUGCAUAUAAUCAAGACUCACAUUUUGUUCCGAAAAUAACACGUGUCCAUUGACAACGAGGAAUCUGAUGUCAAGAUGUGUCCAAAGAUGGUGCGAAGUUCAUUUCUAAGACGUAUCAUAGUAAAUGACAAGAUUAUUAAAAAAAUCCUUAGAUUGUUCUAUUGAAUAUAUUUCAAAUUCAAUUGCACAUUAUAAAAGCCGACUUCUAACGAAGUGAAGUGGAGGCAAAACUGGCCCAUUGGUGUGCGCCCUCGUCGUCACUUGGGGGGUGUGGGGGGCUUGCCCCCGCGGCACGGUACAUAUACCCAAAUUAGGGUUUCAAAGAUUACGAUCUUGUAAGCCGCUGCAGCGUUGUAACCCAACUCUUGAUAAUAGUGAGGAGUGUUUGCUGGACUAGCGCCCGUAGUUUUUUCCUUCGCAUUGGAAAUGUUUUCCACGUUAAAUCUUAUGUCUUCGCUAUAAUUUGAUCUUGUAUUCUUCGUCGUUUAUCCGCCGUCAUUCACAUGUUCAAGUGAUGGUCAACAAGUAAUACAUCCAGUUGAACGCAUGGGCAUAUUACACCGUACUAUAUGUACUAUAUGAGCCUUCUAUUAUGCAUGAUCUUACUCUUCCUUUAUAACAGUUGUUCGAUCUAUAUUCGUCUAUAUGAGCCUUCCGUCAACCAUAAUCUUACAUAAAAGAUGUAAUUGCCAUGUACCUUUAUAUUAUAAGGACAUUUCAAUUGCAUUCUAAAUAAUAGUUUUUAGAAACACGUGUGUAUCACACGUGUAUAUUUGCUAUUUCAAAUAAAAGUGUUGCAGUAGUAAAAUAAAAAAAUAUAAACAAGUUCCAAGUGGUUAGAUGAGAGGCCCAUGGAGCACAAAUCAGAAUUCACCUCACGAAACCCCAGUCCAACCGCUAGAUCGAGGCCCUACUGAAGUGAAGCGACUGCAGGUUCACAGGGAACAGACAGGGGCUUCUGUUCCAGAAAUUUAAGGCCCGGUCAAGAGUUCAUUGAAUGUCAGCAACUCAUCAGCUGUUACCUGCCUACCAGCUCCAUUGCUUGCCGCAGUAACGACCCAGCAAUGAAGCCGCUCAGCUCAAGUUCGCAAAAAUUUUCAAAUAUUGUCUAUCACAUUGAAUCUUACGACACAUACAUAAUACAUUAAAUAUACAUAAAAAUAAAAAAUAAUUACACAGUUUAUCUGUAAAAUUAUGAUAUGAAUUUUUUAAAUCUAAUUACUUUAUGAUUGAACAAUAUUUGUUAAAUAAAAAUGAAAAUUUUACAGUUUCGAAAUCUAAAAAUGUUUGCGAACUGAUCCAGCCCUCAGUACCAGCUCUUCAGAAAUCCAUAGCUAGAUGCGGUAAAAAUCCCAGGAUCGCACACACACUUUCAUGUUCAUGUGAUGUGUCCUUCAUCAGAUCGAUCCCGAUUGUUCGCGCCAGUGUACAAACGCAGCGGCAGGCAGCAGCUUAAUUUCCGUUGUACGUGCGCAGUAACUGCAUGCAGUCUCUCUCUCUCUCUCGAUCUCUCCCUGUAAUCUGUAACCUACUGUGCAAACCUACCAGCAUUCAAUGAUCAUCAGUUCAUCACCAUCCUGGUGGUGGUGCUACUAAGGCCUGGUUUUAGUUAUAAUUUUUUAAACACUCUCGUUUGUUUGUAUUUGAUAAAUAUUGUUUAAUCAUAAAUUAACUAGAUUUAAAAAAUUUGUUUGUAUUUGAUAAAUAUUAUCCAGUCAUAGACUAACUAGGCUUAAAAGAUUCGUCUCGUAAAUUACAGACAAACUAUAUUAUUAGUUAUUUUUUUAUUUAUAUUUAAUGCUCUAUGCAUGUGCCGUAAUGUGACGAAAAAUCUUAAAAAUUUUGGGACUGGAGGUAAACUAAACAAGGUCUUGCUUAGUUCAAAAAAAAUUACAAAUUUUUUCAGAUUUCCCGUCACAUCGAAUUUUGCGGCACAUGCAUAAAGUAUUAAAUAUAAAUAAAAGAAAUAACUAAUUACUGUAAUUUGUGAGAUGAAUCUUUUGAGCCUAGUUAAUAUAUAACUGAAAAAUAUUUAUCAAAUAUAAACCAAAGUGCUACAAUAUCAAUUUUGCUAAACCCAAUUUUUUUGGUUCAGGAUAGUGUAGCAAUUUCGUUUUUAUUUAGUAACUAUUGUGAAAUUGUGCAAUUAAUUAUUAUUUUUAUUUAUAUUUAAUGCUUUAUGCAUGUGUCAAUAAGAUUUGAUGUGACAAGAUAUCUUAAAUUUUUUUAGGAUUUUAGGGUAAACUAAACAAGGCCUCGGUCUUCACACAUACCACCGGCCUGCCUGCUCUCCUAUAAGUAGCAGCGCCAGAAUGUGCGCCAUUUGGCAAGCUCGAUCCAGAUUAGAGCAGCUACCUCAGGGACCUCACCGACAUAAUAAGUACGUACACAGUAGCAGCUUACCUUGUCAGUCCAUCCAUGGAGAAUAUCGUCUACCUCUUGACCAUCAUGUCCUUAUCCAUGGCGCUGCUAGUGCCACUCCACCACGGACAGUGCGAAGCAGCAGCUAGAGCUGCUGCUGCUGCUGCCACAAGCUGCCAUCAUGCCGGCACCGGAGCUGCUGCAUCUGCAUCAGCAUCAUCAUCCACAGCAGCGUGCAGCAGGAGCUGCGUCGGCGGCAAGGCGCCGCGGAAACAAAAGCAGCAGCAGCCGCAGGUGGAGGGCAUGUUCGUGUUCGGGAGCUCGCUGGUGGACAGCGGCAACAACAACUUCCUCAACGGCUCCGGCGUGCGCGCCGACUACCUCCCCUACGGCGUGGACUUCCCGCUCGGCCCCUCGGGCCGCUUCUCCAACGGCCGCAACGUCAUCGACGCGCUCGGCGAGCUCCUCGGCCUCCCGGGGCUUGUCCCGCCCUUCGCCGACCCGCGCACCCGCCGUGCCCGCGCCCGCGCCGCCCUGCUGCGCGGCGUCAACUUCGCCUCCGGCGGCUCCGGCAUCCUCGACCACACCGGCCAGGUCACCCAUGAGUCCUCUAGCUAGCUCCUCAUUGAAUGCUCGUACACAUAGCAUUCGUUUAUCAAUGAGAAUCGCUUGGCAGCACCAGCAUAAUAUAUUGAUGAUUGAUGAGAGUACUGUUUCGUUCAGGGCGAGGUGGUGAGCCUACGGCAGCAGAUCAGCAACUUUGAGUCGGUGACCCUUCCUGACCUGCGGGCCCAGCUGCGGGGCCCAGCUGCGGCCGCCAACCACGGCCGGAUCAAGGGCCAGGAUUCCUUCCACGAGUGCUACCUCUCCAAAUGCCUCUUCGUCAUCGGCACCGGCGGCAACGACUACCUGCUCAACUACUUCAACCCCAGGAAGAACGACGGCACCGAGGGUGGGCCGCCGCCAUUGUCAGAGUUCACCACGUCUCUCAUCACCAAGCUCUCGGACCAUCUUCAGGUAGACCGACUGACCAGCUCUUGCAUUGUUGCCUGCCUCUUGUAACAACUGCAGAUCCUCUGGUGCUAACUCUUAAUUGUUCGUGUUCAUGCCCUGCCUCAUGUUUAUUUGGCAAUUAUUAUGUAGUAUUUUUGUUUUUAUUUGACAAUUAUUGUUUAACGAUGGACUAACUAGGUUUAAAAAAUUUGUCUCGCAAAUUACAGAUAAAUUAUACAAUUAAUUAUUUUGUUUAUCUAUAUUCAAUAUUUCAUGCACGUGCUGUAAGAUUCGGUAUGGCGGGAAAUUUUAAAAAGUUUUUUGAUUUUGGGCGAACUACAAGGCCUUAAUUAACAUGCAUGGCUUAUUUUUCAAGUGCAUUUCAUGAACUGCACCAGUUCCUCCCCUGUUACCUACUGCUCAUACCACAAAUUAAAGCCACGGAUGGUCAUUUAAUUAGUAAUAGUAGCAGGGUGUUUGGUUCUCUCUUAAACUGUAGUUGCUGUUAGCCGACAUCGGAUAUUUAGACACAUGCAUAGAGUAUUAAAUUUAGACUAAUUACGAAACUAAAUGUAUAGAUUGAGACUAAUUUGUGAGAUAAAUUUUUUAAACCUGAUUAAUAAAAAAAACAUGUGUGUAAAAAAGAAGCCGAAUUGGUUUCUAGUUCAUGUGAAAGUAAAGACCGUGAACAAUAACCAUACGCGGAUGGUCAGUAAAUUGUACCAGUAGUACUACAUACUAGUACAUACAGCGAUGAGUAAGGGUGUACGUACAGUCAGUGCCGAGAGUCAUUAAAUUGUAUGUACUACUACUACAGUUCUUAGCACAUGAUAGGCAAAGCACGGUAAAGAGGACACUAUUUACUAACUGUUUGUUUGUCUGAAAUACUGAUUUUAUUACGAGAGAAAGCCACUACUGAAUGAUUAAUACAUUCCAUAGAUAAAUUUAAACAAACAGGCUUGAAGUAGGUUUUCUUUUCGCUCUCUCCCAUAAAAAACAAACAAUAUUAUAGUUUGUCUAAGUCAAACUAUCUUAGACCGAUCGAAUUCAUAUAAAAAUAUCAAUAGUUACCAACAUGUCUAUGAUCUAUUCUGUAUCAUCAAUGUUUAUAAUCAUUUGUAAAAAGAAUUCAAACUCAGAAUGGUUUGAGUUAGAACAAAACUAACUAGGAUGUCUACGUUUUUUAGACAUCCAAGUAAUGAGGUAAUAACUUUUUUUUUGCGUAUAAGUACACAUAUUUUUCGGAAACAUGGCUAUUUAGGGCACUCACAAUGCAAGACUCUAUCACAGAGUCCAAGACACUUAAUUACAUAUUAUUUAUGGUAUUUUGCUCAUGUGGCAGCAUAUUUAUUGAAGAAAGAGGUAGAAAAAAUAAGACUCCAAGUCUUAUUUAGACUCCAAGUCCACAUUGUUCGAGGUAAUAAAUAACUUUAGAGUCUAUGAUAGAGUCUGCAUUGUGAGUGCCCUUAAUCAAGAGGAUCAGGAGAUAAGUACACAUGUUCAAACACAGGAAAUUUAUUGAAGCACGUACUAUUGCAGUGAACCAAAAAAAAAAGCCCUUGUUACAAGCAUGCAUGACCUUGGAUGCUCCGAAUAUGUCAAGCACUCUUCACGCGCUUAUAAUUAAUACUCCAAUAAUAAGUUAAUAAAUGUUUGAUAUACAAUUAUUACGAGUACAGAGUCUGUACGGUCUUGGCGCACGGAAGUUUGUGAUCUUCUCGAUCCAGCCGACCGGGUGCACCCCCGUGGUCCGGGCGUUCCUCAACAUCACCGGCGCCGCCUGCAUCGAGCCGGUGAACGACGCGGUGGCGCUCUUCAACUCCGAGCUCAGGCGGCUGGUCGACGGCGCCAGGCCGCCGCGCAUGCCCGCCGCCAGGUUCGCCUACAUCGACUCGUACAAGAUCAUCAGGGACAUGCUGGACCACCCCGCCAAACAUGGUACCAAGCUAGUACUAGUAGACAUCGUUGAUGUCUUGGAAUUCUCAUCUCAGUAGCAAAUGAAGAUCUUAUAUGUCAAUAAAUUAGUAAAUAGUAAAAAUAAAACAAACCGUAUUUCAGGCGUACGGGAGACGGGCAGAGCCUGCUGCAAGAUGUCGAGGAGGUCGUCGGGCGUGCUGUGCAAGAAGCAGGGGCCCGUGUGCAGGGACCGGACGGAGUACGUCUUCUUCGACGGGCUGCACCCGACGGACGCCGUCAACGCCAGGAUCGCGCGCAAGGGCUACGGCUCCAGCUCGCCCGACCACGCCUACCCCAUCAACGUCAAGAAGCUAGCCAUGCUCUAGCUUGCCUUCUAGCUAGUUCUCUAGUAAUGAUGAUCGCUAAGAGUACUAAAUUACUGCUAGUUCUAGUAGUAAUUCUCAGCUAAGUAUAAUUAGUCUAAGCCAUCCAUGCAUCUUUGCUAGGUUAAGUGUUUUUAUCUACUACUACAAGAAGUUAGCAGUAUUAGCUCUGGACUACUAGAAGAGUUAGAACUCGGGUCCAGCUCUAGGCAACUGCUCCCGGUGAUCUUCUGUACUGUACAAAGGCUUUGUAUGUUGAACCAGUUUCAUUAUUUUGAUAGAACCCUGUGCGAUUUGGACAUAAUAAUAAUUGGGCACUAAACGUCGUACAAAUACCAGGCCGGAUGUAUUUGGUGUGAAAAACAAAAGGCAAAAGCAGAGUUGACACUUAGGUUCUGUUUAAUUCCCCACUCAAAUACUUUGUCUUUUCUCAUUCUCACUCUUGGAGAGAGCGAAGCAAUGACACUAUGCAACUAAGGAGAAGAAUACUACGUGGGCACUCUGCUCCACCAAAUUCUUGGCGAAGUUUUUUCCCAUAAGCAAGACAAAUGCUCUUCGUGGGAAGAUACCAAGUUUUCAACAACAACAUGAUGAGUCAGUCCUAGAAGCAUGGGAGCGCUUUCAACAUUACUAAAGAGCACUUAGGAUAAUCUCUGGUAUAGAAAUGAUUAAUAGUUGCUUUAUUGUAAUUCUUUUCAAGUACCUAGUUUUUAACCUUAAACUCUCCCGAGUUUUAGAAAUGAUUAUUUUGACCUAGGAUUUACUCUAAACUUGAAGCUUAUGGGUUGUGAAUGCUUGAUCUAAGUCUAGGUGAUUGAUAGAUAUGAUAUGAGAAGGUUUAAGCUACUGUUUAUCUUGUUUCUAGUGACACUAGAAUUCUGGAGAUUUAUCUUUUGAAAAACUUAAAAUUGCUACAUGAUGAGUUCCUAUAAUUCCUACCAUAGCCAUAUAUAUGCUUGCUAGACUAGGAAAACCAGCUCAUAAGCUACUUACUUUGUAUUGAGUUUGGUUAACCCAUGAGACCCUUGUCGAGACCGAGAGGAUGGUCAUGCUCCUAAGAUCAAGAUCACUUACACCCACAUAUAUCCUGCUGCUCCUACCCUAGGAGUACGUAAAAACAUGCCUUUCCACCCCAAAAUCUUUCUCCUACACUGGGAGAAGAUCCAAAAAGAUUGUUAGGUUUCCAAAUAAAUGCUCCAAGAUUGUGUUUUCUUCUCUCCAAGUUCAUUGUAUCCUAAGUAAGAGGUAGGAGAUCCUUUAUCAAAAAGGAGAAAUAAAAAAAAGAAGUCUAUGAUCUCUAUGCCUAGAAGUUCAUCAUUGGCACCAAAGAAAGGAGGAAGAAGAUAUCCCAAAACCUCCACAACAAAGUUCUUCAUAAAUUCUUCAAUUGGAGGUAGUCUCUCCAGGAGCAAAGUAGAAUUAGGUUAGCCACCAAAUAUUUCCACACACAUGCACAUCUUGAUCUAAGGGUAUGGUCUCCCCUCCGAGGAUCCCAGUUUUGACUAAGCAACACAUGCAAGGUAAGUAUGCUAUAUCCUCGAAUUACCCUUAGCUCCAUAUAUGCCUAUUAGUUAUAGGGUAAGUGAGAGGAGGCAUGAUGAUGCUCUGCCUUAUUCCAAAAAUACCACAUAUUUUGAGUGAAAGAGGGAAGGCAAAACACCAUCAUUGCAUUAGAAAGGAUCCAAAAAUACCACAUAUGAGAGACCAGAAAGGGUCAUAUAAAAGGAAUCUCCGAGUUUUAUUUUGAAAAUCUACAAAAACUCCAGAAUGAAGGUUGAUUGAAGAAUUUGAAACACAGCGCUUGACUUCAUUGUUUUGCCUUUCAAUUACUCAAGACCCAAGUGAAGGCCAAAAUCUCCAUAGUUAAAGGUAAUGGGUAGGUUUGAAGUUAGAAUGGUUUGCUCUAAUCUAGAGGAGAAAUCUUGUUUGAACACAUAUGUACUUUUGAGGCGUGAAAGUAUUGUAGCAACUCCUGAUCCAUUGUUGAGAUUAGCUUUGCUAAGGGACCAACAAAGGGUAAGCAUGGGGGAACUUGUUGAUGGUCACUAAUGCUCAUUUUUAUCCAACAACUAUUACUUUAUAUGACAUGAUAUGAACCACAAAGCAUAGUUGUAGGGUUUGAAACUAACGAGUUCCACGAGUUUUGGUGAAUCUAUGUUUUAUAGAGGUUAAACUAGAAAAGGACCAGAAUCACCAAAUAAAAGAAUCUCAAAUGACAAAUUGGAGUACACCAUUGUGAAGAGCUCAUUGAGACACAUGAAAUAGAGUUUUUAUUUACCCAAAUCGAAGUCCAGACAACAAAGUUACGCCUUCCGGAAGAUUGCAAAUGGGCUUCGAGAGUAGUCCAAAGUAAAUUAGGCAUAUCUCCCUCAUCCGAACUCCAUUUUCUGUGAUCCAGGACUUUUUGGAAAGCUAACAAAUACAUCUAUCGGCCCAUCAAAAUAGAAGUCCACCUAGCAUCAAGCUAGGCCGGCCGGCCCCACAUGUAAGGCUAGUCGGCCUGCCCCCGAGUCGUCUCACGCUUUGCUUCUUCAGGACUCUUCCACCGCCUCCAAGGAUGUAUUCCACCCUACAUUAAGGUUGGUUUGAUCCAAGGGCUACGAUUCAUCCCACCAGACUAUAUAAACAAGGGCAGACCCCCUUAGAGGCAUACCAUCACCACAUUGUUGAUGCAAAAGCUGGAUCUGCAAACACAAAGGGCUAAUACCCAAUUCAAACGUUAAGGCGUGCCAGCCGAUUUGACCUUACUAUCGGCAAAGGUGAUAACUCGAAUAUAGUCCUGACAACAGCGAUGCGCCCGGAUGUCACGGCCAAGAGGUAUUCACGCGGAACUCGAGAAUACGCCGAGCUUAAGUCGACGAAUUCCUAAGAACUCGUAGUAAAAAGGAAAAGUAUGAUGAAGUCGUCGAAAAAGUAGAUGCUGGAAUAUGAGUAAAAACUUGUGUUUGAUUGAUUGAUUGAUAGAUUCAUUACAAGGCCCUAGGGUCUACAUUUAUACCGUGCUCAAAGAGCUACAAUCAGACACGACUAGGACUCAAAUUCCAAACUAAACAGAAUUCGUAUACAAAACGAUUUAAAUAACUAAGGAAGACACAAAACUAUCUCCCUACGACAAACCGGGACACCACUGUUGACGGUCCUUAAGUAUCAAUUUUAAUUAUCAAAUAAACAAAGAAAAGGAUCCAAAUGAAAUCAACAUCUAGACUUAGGGUUUUAUCUGAUAGAAUUCCACAAGUUUUGGUGUUUGUCUAUUUCUGCAGGGGGUUAUCAGGAGUUACGGAAGAAAGGCCCACACGUCGGGAUUACAUAGAGAUAUUAACGUGCCGCGCAAUUAUCUUACAUCUAGAAGACUACAGAAGCCACGGGAAGAAAGCGGAGGCCGAACGGGGCCAGAGGCAGGGCGCCCGCCCUCCUUCCCUGGGCGCCCGCCCUGACUUGGAGUCCAAUCAGGACUCUGUUUCGUGGGAGAUCUCCACCGACCUAAAGGAUCAAGGAUAACCGUUCAAUCAAUGUCGGUUUGAUCCAACGACCCAUAUUCAAUUGAAGGGACUAUAAAACCAGACCCCCUGGCCCUUGGAGGAGAGAGCCUCUCAACCGUAAUUCAUUAUUCUUCAAGGGAGAAGAAGCCUCUGAUCAAGAUUAGAGCCACCACAUCAAUUAGAUAUCUAGAUUAGCAUGGCUACAUAGAAUUAGAGCUAGAAGGAGUCAAUCUUCGAUUGGUUUCCGGAUCUGUCAAGAGGAUUCUUGGUAAUUCUCUAAUUGUGCUUCUAAUUGUUCUUCUAAUUAUCUUUGUUCUUCAAUAUUAUGAAUAUGACUUUGUUCUACUUCAAUAUAUUGCUUAUGACUUUGCUCUACUUGUUUAUAUUCAAGAUUAUAUUGUUCUUAGUUUAUCAUAGUUAUGUACUUGGCUUAGUUAGAUUGGAUCUAUAUACAUGCUUAGGAUCGUAUAGCGUUUAUCCUUCGGAUCCAUGGGUAAAUGAUAGAUAUUGUGUAGGCGUGGUGCUUAUACCGUAUUUAUCUGCGAUUGUAUCCAGUAUGCCAGAUCGUGGGGUAGUUCGUGAUAGUGACAGCUUCAUUGAUUCUUAUAUAGUCCCCCUCUCGUGUAUUGGGCUGGCAGAGCAAUAUUAUUACAGGGGAGUGAUUGCUAUGUUUCUCAUUUACCUUACUAAUAUCACUAUGCAUGGGCGUAGUCUUGUCUCACAAUGAUUGCUAAGUAUGCUUGCACUAAUUAUGAUAAUGCUAGACUAUAUAGUUGAGAAUAACUUAGGAAAUAUUCUUGUAGUUCGUUCUAAUUCCAUGCUAAUGACUUUCUAGAGUAUCUAAUUGAGGUGCUUAUCAUAUUUAUAUGUGGCUGAUCAGAUUAAUUAUCUUUGUCACAAUUCAUUACUUCAUAUAUCUUUUAUGUGACACUUAUCCCUGUAUGAAAGAGUUAGAUAAAUGUUCUCAAUUAUAUAUGCAAUGAUAGAGGCUCAAUCUCAUAUUCUAUUCUGUAAUCAAUAUUGAUGAUUGUUAAUCCCUUCCCAGUGGUAAAAAUAUAAAUAACGAUACCUGGAAUACUUCCCGGUUAAAAUGCUACAUCGGUAUUAAUCUGUGCGCUUGCAGAUCCCAUUCAUUAUUUAUUUAGAAGAGCAAUUGCAUAUUUCAAUACCGCGUCUCUCAUGUCAUGCUGGGGAUGACAACUUGGCUUAAGUGGUGUGAGGGAUAGGUUUGGCAUUUUUGGCACCGUUACUAGAUUUAGAAAACUAAGUCUACUUUUGGUAAUGAUGUUAAGAAUAUCCAACAACCACCAUGGACCAAUCGGCAAUCUUCACGUCCUCUUUCUGAGUCAUCGGCAGACUCCUCAUCACAGCCAUCGGCAAAGGCUAAUCGCUGACCAUCGGCAUGAACGCGUCACCAAUCAUGGACUUAGUCACCAGCUGUCUCUUCAUCGGCAACCACCUUCAUCGGCAACUCCCCUACAGACCAGUUACUAUUGCCCUAUCUUGCCGAUCCAUACUCUACCGAUCCUGGGUACGUUUCCAAAAACGGUGUCAACACAUGCCCCCCAGUUUCGGAGUAUGAAUUCCUUAAUGCUUCGAAAUUCUCUCCAUUAAUGACGCCUUUCCGCAGUUAAUUCUCCCAAUUUAGCAACCGACCGUUAAAGCUGAACAACCAUGGCCCGAUUCUUUUGCAGAUCCCUCAAAUUUCUCAACCUCCCAAACUGGACAUCUCCUCUUUAUUCGCCCAUCGGCAAUAUUACCGUUGGAGGAAGCUGCCGAUGGACCGACCAGGAAAUCCCGCACAGUGAAAUAUCUCCAGAUCAUGACCGCUUCCUGUCAAAUCGCCUGCACAAUCCCUUGAUUACCGUGCGAACAGUUACCAUAUCUACCUAAGUAUCCUCGGAUUUCACGGAUACGACGAUGAGAUAAGUCAGAUUUGCCCUUGCCCGUUUUGUCCUAUAAAUAGUUCCCUCUCGGAUACUCCUCCAUCGCAUCAUUCUACAGCCCUAACUCUGCUUUUCUGGUGGCGACACUGUUCGAGAGCUCCAAGAACUCCAACAAAGGCCUUUCUCUACCAACCCUAAAGUCUUCAAUCAUCUUCCUUGCGAGGAGAUGGCCAUCAACUUUACCGUUUCUGAGGUCAGUUCAUCACCCCAUCUUUCGUACUUUUACCAUACCCUUGUUCAUCUGCAAUUCAUUUUACUGAAUAUUCCUCUCCUCUUUCUUUUGUUCUUCUUUUUAUCCUUAAAAACUUCUAGGAUUUGUCCAAUAAAAAUGUCAUCCCUACCGAUCAGCCACACCUCCAAUGCCUCGGCUCACUAGGGAACCCAGAUCCUACCGAUCUGAUCAACGCGGAGACAAACAGAAUCCCCUUUAGGGCCGAGAAUUUUUCUCUAGAUCUGUGGAAAGAUGCCUUCCGUUCCUGGCCCAGUCCUACCAAGGGAUGGAAGGAUUGGUUCCUGAGAGUCAGCCAUUCAAAUGAGGUUCAAUGGGGUGAACGAAAACUGGAUCAAUGCAUCAGGUUAUCCCUUGCCGAUAUGCAUAGGAAUGAAUCACUAUUGAUUGCUGCAUCAUAUUUCUGGUCAGACACACUUAAUGCUUUUGUUUUCGGCCAUGGCCCUGCUUCUCCCACUCUUGCCGAUGUGCUUAUGCUCACCGGCUUAGAUGUGUCCACUGCCGAUAGUAGUCACAUAUUUGACACCACACCCAGCGCUAAAGUGGAAACUCGCUCUAUCGGCGGCUGGUCUGAGUACAUUCAGAAGUACCGUAGAACCGGGCCGGUCAACAUAAAGGAACAAACCACCUUUCUGAACAUGUGGCUGGACAAAUUUGUAUUCUGCGGUCGAUCGGCAGGACCAACCUCUGUCUACCUAUCGGCAGCGGAGAGAUUAGCUAAUGGUGGCUGAUUUCCCCUCGGCCGAUACCUGCUUGGUUCUGCCUAUCAUCUUCUCCACCAAGUAGCCACGAAACUUCUGCUCGGCCAACCCAUCGGCAACUUAGGGGGUCCCUGGUGGUUCAUCAAUAUGUGGCUCAGCCUCCAUAUGCACAAACGUCUUGAGUUCGACCUCUUUGCACAACGUUUCCCCAGGGAUAUAGCCGAGGAUCAUGAACUGGGUGAAGAAGAAUCGGCAACUCGUCCUCCUCUGACCUUUGGUGAGGCUGCCAUAGUCUUGCCUGGCAUAGGGGGUAACGCGGAUCAGGUUAGCCGAUUCUUUCAGACUCUGUACGAGGGCCUGACCAGAGAACAACGAGCAUGGAUGCCUUAUGAAGACCCAGACACCAGAUUUCCUUUGGUCUUUCAUCCCUUCAACGAUGCUCUCAAUAAGGAUCAUGAUGUGAUGAUAGCACUUAUCACCCCAAGAGCCAUACCAGUAAACUUUUUUGGCAGUGGGAAGGCCUCCAACCAGACCUAUGAAUUCUACAACCCAUCGGCACUAGCCCGUCAACUAGCUUUCGGUCAGUUACCGUUUGCACUUUGUUAUGCCGAUGUGAUAAAACCUAGGAAACCAUCACUAGUCUUCUCGAGUGGACCAGAAUAGCUCAACUGCCACCAAAUGCCAAUACAGAUGCCGAUUUAUCAGAUUGGAUCUCGGCCCUCUUCAUCACUCAGGCAUACAAACAAUGGUGGGAAGAAUGGAAAGAGCAUCUGUUCUGCAGAUCGGCUCUUACGAACCGCGGCAUGACUGACCCUCAAUACAAGGUCCCUGACAACACUGUAAGUAUUCUUAAACUGAUGUUUCAAUUUCUUCACUGUCCUUUUCAAUCGGUAACCCCCUUUCUUCAUCUCAUACAGGUUGAUGAUACACCACCAUCGGUCAGCAGGAGUGGCAAGCCGAUUGGGCUCCUUCCAUCGGGCCCGAUCUCCUUAAUCGGCAACAAUGCUCCCACCUUGGCUGCUAUAAUGCAUCGAGGAGUGUGCCUCAAGAAGGUCACCACCAGGCGAACGAAGACAUCCCCAUCAGUAGCCGCUACUGCCUUAGCGCAAGCCUUCAAGGUAAAGUUUUUAAUUCUUCACUUGUACUGAUUCUACUCUUAUACCCCGUUGAACUUGCACUCACAAAACUUCUUACUGUUGUAUCAGCACACUGGCACAUCGGCAAAGACUAGAAGUACGACUGUCGAUGCCCCCCUGUCCAGCCAGCCAAAGAGAAAAGGCUCCAAGAGUACCGGAACCCAAGCGAAUCGCCAGAGAACACCAACACCUCCCCCUCCUCCGAGGUCACCGAUCCCGGUAGAAUCUUCUCCUUCUUCUCCAGAAGUCCAGAUACAACAAGCACCAUCUCCCCCUCAACUAUAGGAAGAACCUCAAACAGAAGAACCUCAGCCAGAGGAACCUCAACCAGAAGAGACAUUGGAUGACGUACACGAGCAGACUGCCGAUCCAACAAGCUCGAUCGUAGCAUCGGUAGUUUCCUCGAUCCAGAUAAGCACUGCACCUCCUCAAGGUAAUAUACUUCUAUUUACUGCCGAUGAACCUAUUUUCCCACUUUAUUAAUCAUUCAUGUUAAUCUUUCAGUUGACAUAUUUCCAUCGGCAAUUCCAGCCGAUCAGCCCGUGCCCCGUGGUUCCAUCGGCGUCAUCUAGUCAGAGGCGAGAGAUGGCCCUGAAGCAAGUAAAUUACAUAAUCUCUAUUUGUAUCGUUUACCAAUGCUUGAUCACAGAAUAACUUAUUUUACUUUCUAUCGGCAAAGAGAGAAGCCCUGUUGGCAGAACUCAAACAAGUAGAAGAAGCCUUGUCCCAAGCUCAACAAGAAGAAAGCCAGCUGCCUGAGGUGAUCAAACUUCUUGAACAAGAGCAAAAUAUCCAUGGCCGCAAAGCACUGCAGAUGAAGAAGAAGCUAAAGCCAGUGGAGGGCUCUGCCGAUGAUGACGUGAAGGAGAUAGAAGAAGCCAACCAGAUCCGUCUGCGUGCCAUAUCAACGAUCCAGGCGCUGUUGAACAUGUGAACUCUUCAUUGGCGGCGUUCUUUGCUUCUUCCUUCUAACCAUUUUGGUCUAGCCAAUAGGACUGUUAUCGGCAUCCGUUUAAAACAUUAAGUCUGGUCCUAGAUACAGUUUUAAUCCAGCCGAUAGGAAUGUUAUCGGCACUUAAACUUUUACGCAUCGACCCAUAUGCUCGGGUAAUAUUUCUUCAGAUAUUUGCCAUUUAAUGCCCUGGGAAAUUUAACUCCUUCGAGAGUUUCUAAGAUAUAAGCGUUGCCAGGAGCAGAUCGAUUUAUCCGAUAGGGACCCUCCCAAUUGGGAGACCACUUCCCAAAUCUUGAACUUUUAGUCCCGAUCGGUAAGAUUAGUUUCCACACUAAGUCCCCAUUGGCAAACUCUUUACUCUUCACUUUUUUGUCAUACCAUCUGGCAACUCUCUUCUUAUUUUCCUCUAUACUUAUCUAAGCUCUUAGCCGAUGUCCCGCUAAAUCGUCUAAUUCAUCUGUCAUCAAAGUAGCAUAAUCAUCGCCAGUCAAUUGAUCUUGAAAAGAUAGUCGCCUAGAUCCGGUCUUAAUCUUCCAAGGUAACACGACAUCGUGCCCAUAUACCAACUGAUAAGGUGAAACUUUAGUCGAUCCAUGACAAGCCAUCCGAUAGGACCAUAAAGCUUCAUUUAACAACGUAUGCCACCUCCUAGGAUUUUCUUCAAUCUUUCAUUUAAUAAGCUUGAUAAUUCCUUUGUUAGAUGCCUCGGCCUGGCCAUUAGCUUGAGCAUAAUAAGGAGAAGAAUUUAAUACUUUAAUUCUCAUACCAAUUGCAAACUCAUCAAACUCCCCUGAUGUAAACAUAGUACCCUGAUCGGUAGUAAUUGUUUGAGGAAUCCCAAAUCGGUAAAUAAUAUGUUCUUUCACAAAAUCAAUCAUGUUGGCCGAUGUAAAUUUCUUCAAAGGAAUUGCUUCAACCCAUUUGGUGAAAUAAUCGGUGGCGACCAGGAUAAACUUAUGCCCUUUGCUAGAUGGCGGAUAAAUCUGGCCGAUUAGAUCAAUAGCCCAUCCCCGGAACGGCCAAAGCUUAAUAAUGGGAUUCAUGGCCGAUGCAGGUGCUCUUUGAACAUUGCCAAACCUCUGACACCCUUGACAUCCUUUGAAAUAUUUAAAGCAAUCUUCAAGUAUGGUUGGCCAAUAAUACCUAUUUCUCCUGAUCAUCCACUUCAUCUUGAAUGCCGACUGAUGUGCUCCACAUACUCCUUCAUGGAUUUCUCCCAUCAAACUUUUAGCUUCAUCUUCACCCAAGCAUUUGAGAAGAAUUCUAUCAAUUGUUCGAUAAUAUAAUUCAUCCCCGAGGAGCACAUACUUGGUGGCUUGAAACCGAACACGUCUUUCAACUUUCUUGGAUGGAUCCUUCAAAUAAUCAACGAUUUCUUUUCUCCAAUCAUCAGCACUGAUUGGCGAUAUUGUAUUUAGCAUGGGCUGAUAUCCCGAAGCAUGCUGAGCCAACCGAUUAGCCUCUUCAUUAUGUAAUCGAUGAACACGCUCUAAUCGGAAAUCUUUGAAUUCCUUUAACAGUUGCAUACUCCUUUCAUAAUAAGUUAUCAAAACUUCACUUCGGCAUUCAUAACUUCCAGCUAAUUGAUUUAUAACCAGCAUGGAAUCCCCAAAGAUGUCAACAACAUCAGCAUGAACAUCUUUUAACAACUCCAACCCCUUGAUUAGAGCUUGAUAUUCAGCUUGAUUAUUUGUUGAUGCAGCAACAAUCGGCAAGGAGAACUCGUAUUUCCUUCCCUGAGGGGAAAUUAACACUAUGCCGAUUCGUGCCCCCCGGUCACACGUGGAUCCAUCAAAGAAGAGCGUCCAAGGCACAAUUUCCAAAGUUUCCACUGCACCACGAUGUUGAGUCACAAAAUCGGCCAUGAUCUGUCCUUUAACUGCUUUAGCCGAUUCGUAACGCAGAUCAAACUCCGAUAGCGCCAAAAUCCACUUACCGAUCCUGCCACUCAUAAUCGGCAUAGACAGCAUAUAUCGGACCACGUCAUCUUUGCAUAUAACAGUGCAUUCGGCCGAUAAUAAGUAGUGCCUCAACUUAAUACAUGAGAAAUAUAGACACAAACAUAACUUUUCAAUAGCCGAAUACCUGGUUUCAGCAUCAAUUAACCUCCUGCUUAAAUAAUAAAUUACACGCUCCUUCCCUUCAAAUUCUUGAAUCAAAGCUGAACCGAUGACCAUCCCAUCGGUAGACAAAUAUAAUCUGAAGGGCUUUCCUUGCUAAGGUGGAAUCAGAACUGGAGGAUUUACCAAAUAAUUCUUGAUCUCAGCUAGGGCCAACUGUUGCUCUUUUCCCCAUACAAAUUCUUGAUCGGCGUUUAAUUUGAGUAAAGAUAAAUUGGCUAUAAACCUUCUGAUAAAAUUUACCUUGCCGAUCAAGGACUGGAGCUCAGUUUUGUUGGUAGCAGCAACUAUUUUGUUGAUAGCAUCAAUGGAUCUCCUGCUAAUCUCAAUCCCUCUCUGAUGCACCAUGAAACCAAGAAACUGUCCUGCCGAUACACCAAAUGCACACUUGUUGUGAUUCAUCUUUAAACCAUGCUUCCUCGUGCAUUCUAACACUUUUUGCAAAUCGGCAAGAUGUUUUGUGAAAUAUCCAGACUUAACCACCACAUCAUCAAUAUAAAUUUCCACCAGCUUGCCGGUGAACUCAUGAAAGAUAAAAUUCAUGGCCCUCUGAUAAGUAGCCCCCGCAUUUUUCAAACCAAAGGUCAUGACUAUCCAUUCAAACAACUCAACAUGACCAGGACAUCUAAAUGUUGUCUUCGGAAUAUCUUCUUCAGCCAUGAAUAUUUGAUUGUAUCCUGCAUUGCCAUCCAUAAAGCUGAUGAUCCGAUGCCCAGCCGCAGCAUCAACUAGCAGAUCGGCAACCGGCAUCGGGUAACCAUCCAUUGGCGUAGCUUUAUUGAGAUUCCUGAAAUCAAUGCAAACCCGAAGUUUUCCAUUUUUCUUGUAAACUGGAACCACAUUGGAAAUCCACUAGGCAUACCGACACUGCCGGAUAAAUUUAGCUUCAAUAAGUUUGGUUAUUUCGGCCUUAAUAUCAGGAAGAAUAUUAGGAUUACAUCGGCGAGCUGGCUGCUGAUGUGGCCGAAAUGUAGACUUAAUAGGUAACCGAUGUUCAACAAUUGAUCGGUCUAAACCAGGCAUCUCAGUAUAAUCCCAAGCAAAGCAAUCUUUAUAUUCUUUUAACAAAUCGGUUAACUGCUGCUUACACUCAGAAUUUAACUUAGCACUAAUAAAAGUAGGUCUAGGUUUAUCUCCACCACCUAUAUCUACAUCUAUUAAAUCAUCGGCCGAUGUGAAUCCCUUGCCUAAUUUUCCAUCAUCAGCGAACCUAUCCAUUAAAACUCUUCAUCAGAACCGACUGCUUGGAUCGGUGGAAUUUCGUAAUCGGCAACUUUGAGGAAAUCUUUCUCCCAAACUUCUCCUGAGAUACACCUAGUUCUCUCAUAGGUAUCUGCCUCUGCCGAUGCAAUGACAUAAGAAGAAUCUCCCGGGACAAUCUCAAUCUUGUCACCUACCCACUGAACCAAGCAUUGGUCAUUGUUGAUGGGAUGCAACAAUUAGCAUGAAUCCAAUCUCUCCCCAACAGCAGAUUAUAAGCACCCUUUCCGCUGAUCACGAAGAAAGUUGUCGGCAAGGUUUUGUUGCCGAUGGUCAACUCGACGCAUAUUGCCCCCUUGACCGGAGACACAUUCCCUUCAAAAUCUUUCACCAUCAUAUCGGUCUUGUCAAAUCUUGAUCUCCUUUUCCAAGUUUUCGAUAGACUGCAUAUGGCAUGAUGUUGAUAGCAGCUCCUCCAAAAAUUAAUAUCUUGGUCAUCGGUUGACCAUCAACUCUUCCUUUGACAAACAGAGCUUUAAGAUGCUGCCUUUCGUUGUUAGUAGGCUUUUCAAAAAUGGCUGUCAUCGGAUCCAGAGCCAACUGAGCUAUCUGGUCGGAGAAUUUCAGCUCCUCGUCAUCACUAGAUGGCGCCAAGAAUUCCAUCGGCAACAUAAAUACCAUGUUAACAUCUGCCGAUGGCCCUUUCCCUUUAGGAUCUGACUGUUGUUGAUCCCCAGGCUGACCAGAAUUCUCACCCUUGCUCAGCUCUUCUCGUCUCUCGCGCUGUAAUCUCCUCUUCUGUGUCUUGGUCAACCUCUCUGGACACCAUGGGGGAAGUGGUGACUGCCUUGCCGAUGGACGAAGAUAUUCUCUUGACUCCAUCCGAUGAGUAUUAGCAUCCCUGCAAAAUAUAAACUCAUCGAGAACUCAUGCAUUGGCCAUCUCUUCAAGCUCCUCCGGGUUUCUCGGAAAAUAUUGAACAGAUCACCAAGCCUAUCGUGCACACUGAGCCUGCCCCCCAGCCGAUCAUGAACUGACGCUCUCCCUCUAAUCGGCCCAUUAAAUCGCCGAUCAUCAUCGUGGUAGUACCGAUCAUAGCCAUUGCACUCAGGGCAAUCUCUAACAGUGGGUAACUUAAUGUUCUGCUCCUAGCAAUGGAUAAAGAAGGGGCAGUUCCAGUGAUCCUUGUGCCGACUCCACUCCCGUCGGCGUCUCUCUUCUUCCCGAUGAUAAUCUUCUUGCUGGCGCCGAUACCGAUCCUCACGCUCCUGCCAAGUUUCCCGAGGCCUUCUAUGAGUUAUCACAAUACCAGAUCGGGGAGGUCUUCCUGAGUUAGAUCCUUCUUGGAUCAGACCUUUUCCUUUGGCAUCGGCAGCAGUAAUUUGGUGCUGGGGAUCUACCGAUGCACUUUUUUCAGUUGCUUCUGAUGUCAGCACCUUGGUUUUCCCCUUAGCGUCCAACAUGUUUGUCGGAAAAGGGUGUUGAUCAAUCUUCAUCGGCUUCUGGGCUUUGGAACUAUCAAAUUUGAUUCUCCCGGAUUCAAUAGCCGAUUGCAGUUGUUGCCUGAAAACUUUGCACUCAUUGGUGCUGUGAGAAGUUGCAUUGUGCCACUUGCAAUAUUUCAUCUUCUUUAACUCUUCAGCCGAUGGGAUCACAUGAUUGGGUGACAACUUGAUCUGACCUUCCUGCAGUAGAAAGUCAAAUAUCCUAUCGGACUUAGUAAUGUCAAAUGCGAACUUUUCUGGCUCUUCAUGUCCAAAAGGGCAAGACAUCGGCUUUUUGUUUUUCACCCAUUCUGCCAAACCGAUGACUGGUUCCUCAUCAAGAAUCCGAGCUUGUUGCUUCAUCGACAAAAGACACCUUUUUAUUCCAUGCUCUCUUGGGCUCAAAAGGUCUGACAUCCUGAUCAGAAAUCCUCUGCACUAAAUGACUUAAGCUUUCGAACUCCUGAGAAGCAUACUUGUCUCUGAUGUGUGGCAACAAACCCUAGAAAGCCAAAUCGGCAAGCUACCGAUCGUCCAAGACCAGACUAUAACAUUUGUUUUUGACCUCCUGUAUUCUCUGCACAAAACUUUCAACUGAUUCAUCGUUGCGUUGCUUCAAUUUGACCAAAUCGGUGAUCUUCUUCUCAUGGACUCCAGAAAAGAAGUAUUUGUGGAAUUGCUUCUCUAGAUCGGCCCAAGUAAUCAUUGAGUUGGGAGGUAACGAUAUAAACCAAGUAAAUGCCGAUCCAGACAAUGAUGACGAGAACAAACGAACCCUUAACUCGUCCCUGUUAGCGGCUUCUCCACAUUGAAUGAUGAACCUGUUGACAUGGUCCAUGAUUGAUGUAUCAUCCUGUCCAGAAAACUUAGUGAAAUCUGGUACCUUGUACCGAUUUGGAAGUGAAAUUAAAUCAUAUGCAGGAGGAUACGGUGUCCGAUAAGAAUAAGUGUUGACUUUGGGUUUUAUCCCGAAUUGGUCUCUCAUUACUUCAGCAAUCUUAUCGGCCCAAUAAGCAUCGGCAUCCUGCCGAUGGGGUGGUUGUGGAUCUGGCACCUGUUGAUAAGCUUCCACGUGUCUGUGUGGUGCGCGAUCUGCAUGGAACAUCAAGUUAAUCAUCUGGCCACCAAUCUGUUGACCACCAAACUGCUGACCACCGAUCUGUUGACCACCAAACUGCUGGCCGAGAUUCAUCGGCUGGUUGACCAAUCCUUGAUUCUGGAACCCAGGUUGGACUUGGCCCUGCUGAAACCCUAUAGCCUGAUGAUUCUGCUGUGGAAACACAAAUUGCCCAGGCCAUCCAUUAUUAACAUUCAUCGGCAUAGACCCUGCCGAUGACUGGUAAUUGGGUAUUGUCAUUGAAUUGACAUACCCUGACUGAGUCAUAAAUCUCUGUUGCGUCGGCAUUGAAUCUGCCGAUGCGUUAGGCAUCUGGAACGUUGGAGCUUGAGAAUUUCCAGUGUAAGGCCUUGCAGUAGUAGUUGUAGUAUACUGGGGACUCUGAUUCAUUGGCAUAUUUGGAGGUGCCGAUGCCAUAGGAGCCUUGCCUCUCACAUCAGCCGUCUGAUAUAUGCUAGGUGUCUUCAACGUCAACUCUGGAGGCAUACCGUAACCCCACCAGUUAGGAGGAGGGACAGAUCCCGACAUCGCCGACGCCAAUAAAUCUGUAGCAAGCUUGAUCUGCCCAUCUGAAGUUGAUGGAUUGGUUAGCAUCAGUGUAGAUUGUGCAUUAGUAACUCCCAACGUGCUUGGAGGAACAGUAGUUUCUGUGCCCGCAACAGCUGUAACAGCCGAUGGAGCUGUAACUUCCGGUGAUCCCGGCUGAUGAUAGACAGGGCCCACAUACUUUGGUGGCAAUUGUCCUUCUUUAAAAGUUCUAACCACGGCAUUGAAAACCGUAUUGGACAAUAUACCAGCUUGAUUGAUCAAGGCACGGUUAAUAGCGCCGUCAACCAUGUCUUGGAGUUUACCAGGAUUGGCAUCAAAAGUAACCUGCCGAGCUGCCAGCAGUGCCUCCUUCUGGAUCACCUCGCCGCUCCUGUUUAUGCUGAAGGAUUUCAAACAUUGCUGCUUGUAGUCCUCCAUGGCUUUUGCAAUAGCUUGCUUCUGCUCAUCUUUGAGAUUGGCUUCUGUCACCGGGAUGACGUUCUCCAGAUCGAAUUCAGUAGUCGACAUGUUGAUCUUGAUCUUGAACUGGUCCCACCAGGCGUGCCAAAAGAUGUGUUGAUGCAAAAGCUGGAUCUGCAAACACAAAGGGCUAAUACCCGAUUCAAACGUUAAGGCGUGCCAGCCGAUUUGACCUUGCUAUCGGCAAAGGUGAUAACUCCAAUACUUUAGUCCUGACAACAGCGAUGCGCCCGGAUGUCACGGCCAAGAGGUAUUUACGCGGAACUCGAGAAUACGCCGAGCUUAAGUCGACGAAUUCCUAAGAACUCGUAGUAAAAAGGAAAAAGUAUGACGAAGUCGUCGAAAAAGUAGAUGCUGGAAUAUGAGUAAAAACUUGUGUUUGAUUGAUUGAUUGAUAGAUUCAUUACAAGGCCCUAGGGUCUACAUUUAUACCCUGCUCAAAGAGCUACAAUCAGACACGACUCGGACUCAAAUUCCAAACUAAACAGAAUCCGUAUACAAAACGAUUUAAAUAACUAAGGAAGACACAAAACUAUCUCCCUACGACAAACCGGGACACCACCAUGGACCAAUCGGCAAUCUUCACGUCCUCUUUCCGAGUCAUCGGCAGACUCCUCAUCACAGCCAUCGGCAAAGGCUAAUCGCUGACCAUCGGCAUGAAAGCGUCACCAAUCAUGGACUUAGUCACCAGCUGUCUCUUCAUCGGCAACCACCUUCAUCGGCAACUCCCCUGUAGACCAGUUACUAUUGCCCUAUCUUGCCGAUCCAUACUCUACCGAUCCUGGGUACGUGUCCAAAAACGAUGUCAACACACAUCAAUCAUUAUUCAUCCUCCACAGAAAAGCUAGGGUUUGGAGAAGAGAGGUGUCCCUCGAAUGGAUGGAGUAGAUCUAGACUUUUAGUUAGUAAAGAGAUGGAGAGCGAGGGAAGAGUUUUGAGGAGGUGCCGGCCUGUCGGUGCUUCUUCUACGGCUUGUUCUUCGACAAGAUCAGGCUCUAUGUGGGCUUGCUCCUCAGAUGGCUCUAGAUCUAGCCAUCAACUUCUGAUUCAAGUAAGGUUCAUAUUUAUAUUAUUCUUUUAGUCUCGAAUCUCUUUUGAGUACUUUAAUCUUUUGCAAGAGGUUAGAGUAAACUUUGCAGUGUAGGCGUGGUGCUUUGGAUCAGGGUUAUUCAUAGAUGAAACCUAUAUUUUGAAUCGGUGGUAGAUCGCGAAGGUGACAACUUUGUUGACUCCUAUGUAGUCCACCUCUUGUCUCUAGGCCUAGUAGGAGACCUUUGUUAUGUGGUACAUUUGUACUAUGUUUGCGGUCUUCUAUAGUAAUUCCCCAGUUGAAUAGUAGAAGACAUGGAUUGCCUUAGUUAGAAGUAGAAACCUUGAUCGAGUUAUCCUCUCUAUACUCCUACUAUCCAUCACAUACUAGCUUGAUCCUCCCCUAUGUUUUAAUAUUGUUUCUACUUUAAAUAUUGUCCCUAGCAUAGUUUAUAUUUCCAACUCAUUCACCUUUUAUAGUUAAGUUAGUAUGUAGUUGACCCACACGUUUCCCUAUGAAUACAAUAUUUAAAACCAUCCGGGUGAAAGCUACAACGGUAUACGUACGUGUAACACCCGAUUUUAAGGACAAAAUCAGAUAUGCACCAUAUGUGAGUUUUAGAAGACAAGCCUCACAUAUAGCUACAAAUAAGGGGUAAUAUCAAAGGACAACGCAUAAAUUACAUAGCGUACAUAGAAAAUCAGAAACAACCUUAGGCAGCAAACCACGGAAUAUAAGUCCAAACUUCGGGUGUUAACUUCACUCUACAGGAUCCAACUGAUUGGUUGAUCACAAGCCCAAUACUUCUCAUGAGGUGUGGGGGAGAUAGCAAGAGUGAGUCCAAGACGAACUCCGCAAGUAUAACAACUAGAUUGUAUAGAUCCCACGGUCUCAUGAUCAAUGUGACAUAAAUAAUAUAGAGCAUUAAACAAUAAUCAAUGAGUUUCUUAACACAAGAUUCAUCACCCUUAAUGUAAGAGUUCCCAAGGCCGCUCGUGACCGUGAGCACGGCUAGUAUACUAGUUUUUAACACUCUGCAGAGGUUGUACAUCUUUACCCAUGAGUCAUGAUUUACCCUUUCGCCUGAGGUGAUCAGCCUCGUAACCCACUACCAAGGUAGGUCGGCAGGGAUCACUAUGAAGUCUUUCAAAGGUUCAUCUAACAAGUUAGGGCCGCUUGGUUUCGUUAGUCAGUCCGUGUGAUUCUACCCCGCACGGGAUCCACGGUCUGCUAUCCCCCAUUUGCGCCACACGGGUAACCUCUAACAAGCUAGAAAAGUUACUCAUACUUGACUAAAGCCAGAGCCAUUAUAGCCCUUAUGGUUGCACUUUCAUCCCUGUUAUCACUUAUGAAUAAAUCCUCAAGUUGUUAAAAAGUCAUUAUUAUCAUUUGUUGCUUUAUAUCAAUCUAGUCACAAGAUCAUGGUCAUAGAAUUAAAACCCAAAUGCUAUACUUGCCUUGAUCCAAUUGCUCCUGCUGGUCCUGUUGAUCUUACUUGCUUCCAAGACUCUGAUCUUGAUCACCGAAGUAAUGCCCACUGUCUAAUCUCGAUCAUCGAUUAUCAAUCACACAAACAAUCGGAGACAGACAUACACGAAGCAGACAAUAUUACAAUUAGAACAGUACACCAGCAGUAAAUAAAUGUAAAUAAAAGUUUUCCAAAAUUAUCUACACGCUGCUACGAUCACGUCAACGGGAAAUUCAUGGAAAACGGAGCUACGACGCGAAAGUUACGCUUUUAACGGGAUUUCAAUAGGCGUUUACGGACUUGUAAUUAUCUAGGAAAUGUAACAGUGGUGAACCUAGACAACAAUGGUACCAACGCGAAGCUUAUGAAAUUAUAAAACUAACGCAACUUGAACGGAUCGAAACGGAGCUAAAACGGAGAAGAUAUAAAUUUUCUAAGAUUUUAUAUAGAAAAGUAAUUAAUUAAAUAGGGUCACAAAAUUAAAAUGUUUCAAAAGAGAAAACCGUAUUACUAACAUGUAUAUCUUUCAAAUACGAACUUAACGCAAUUUGAAUGGGUCAAAUCGGAGUUAAAAUGAAUAUUUUAUAGCCAAAAUAAGUUCAGUGGCAAUUUAGUAAAUACUGAAAACGUAUUUUGAAGCAAGCCGCGAUAGUUUACGUUUUCAACACAGCCAGGCGUAUUUAUUUAUUUUUUUCGAAUGCGCCAGGGACCGCGGGUUCUAUAUUUAAAAAGUUGAGGGGCUCUUUAACAAAAUUUCAGGCCGAAAGGGUAUUGGCCAUCUUGAGCCGUUGGAUCUCAGAUGAACGCGCAGGAUUAAAACAAAAGAAAAAAAAAAGAAAAAAACAAAAAGAAGAGAGAGGGAGGGGGUGGUGCCUGCUGCCGGAAGUGGGCAAGAACGCGUCGGCCACCAUGGCCGGCCGACUGAGGGCUCGCCGGAGCAAGCGGAUGGGAAGCUACGGUGCACGGUUUUUGAUUCCGAAAGCACUGGGAGAGAGAGGAGAGCGAUGCGAGUCCGUUCCUAGCCAUAAACACGGUCGGGGAGGUGGUUUCCGCGGAGGUUCACGGCGGCACCAUGAACGGCCCGUCGGAGCUCGUGGAGCUGGGACUCCAGGCCACGAUUGACCAAACCGAGUGCACACGGAGGAAGAGGGCGGCAAGGCGAACUCGCCGGGACACUAGGCGCGGCCAGGGAAGGUCCCGAGCGGCACACGCCACGGCCGACGGCCAUGGAGCUCGCCAGAGCUCUGUGGUCGGCACGGAGGAGUGCUCCGUUUCGCGAGAGAAAUAGACGGGGAGGAUGCGGGAGAGGAGGGGAGCUCACCAGCGCGAAGAACGGAGGCGAAGAAGGCUCGAAUCGGCGAGUUGAAUGCGGCAAAAGUCACGGCGUUCUCCGACGGCGUUCCCUGCGGUUGCAGCGCAUUCCAAGACAGAGCGAGAGAGGGAAUAGGGGCGAAAUGCAAGCGGGGAGGGGGCUCGGGUGCGGGUGCUGCUCAAAAGGGGCGAGGAGUGCGAAUCGUGGGGAGCGGCUCGGGCGCGUGCGGUUGCCAUCAGCACUGCGAUAGGAGAAGGAGAGCAGUUGGAGGGAGGGGAUGGAUCUGACGGGUGGGUCCCGCAUGGUAGUGAGAGAGAAGAGGGAAGGAGGGGGCUGUCGGCUGGGCCUUGGCCCAAGAAAAGAAAGGGGGAGGCACGGGGGAUUUGGGCCGAGCAGGCCGAAAGGAGAAGAGAGGGGGGAAGGGUUUUGCCAUUUUCUUUUUUUUCAAACAAAUUUUUCAACACAUUUUCCAAUUGAAUUUUUGAUCAAAUUGACAUUUUGUUUUUAGAACAAUCAUCACAAUAAAAUGCACCAGCAUGUAUGCAUCAAAGUGUUUUCUAUACUUAUAUUAAAUUUAAAUUCCCCAAAAAUUUAUUUAUUUAUUUUUCCUAUAUUUUGUUGCUCACAAAAUUGACUUAGUAAAUCUAAUUUAACUAUUUUAAAGAAGGGAAUUUUUAGGGUGUUACAGUACGCUUGCGGAUCUUUUCUGUUUGCGUUAAUAAAUACCAACAAAUACCAAUUGUUACGGUCCCAAUCCUGCAGAGAUUGAACGAAGGGGAUUAGGGUUCCACAAGGACAUAUCGACGGUGGUUCCGAUGAGGAAGUUGUGGCAGAUCUGGGCUAGCUAGGUGACGGUGGCGCACGCGAAAACGCUAGCGGCGGCACAGGCGGCUGUGGUGGCGCAGGCUGCGGUGGUGGCGACGAGGAAGAGAGAAAGAGGUGGCGUGCGUAGAGAAGGGAGGAAGAAUAGAUAAAAGGGUUUAACCCUAAACUUGCUUGCCUAUCUCAUUGAACGUUCUUCCUUUUUUAAGUGGGGUUACAAUUGCUAAUGGGCUUGGCCCACGAACCUAUCCUCUUAAGGAGGCCUUAAUCUAUAACAGCUAGGUCAAUUGCCCCUCCUAACAAUAUAGUAUGUUGCCAACUUUCUGAGGACGUCCUCGUGGACGCUAGACGUCUGUUACACUUGGGCACAAAAGAAUCCAUACCCCCUUUAAAAAAUCAUCCAUACAGCCUUCCUCAGUCGUAGCCUCACAAAUCAUGUGAGACUCUUUCUCUGUUAUGAAACAUUUUAAUUUAGGUUCAUGAAACAGCUUGUUCACGACUUAGUUCUCUAGGGGAGGGGAGGUGGGCUACCACACUAGUAGGUCCAAAAGAAGGUGAGCAGUAUUUUUUGAGGAUUAUUAGUAGAAAACUGCCAGAAAGUUGAUUAAUUACAAAUAGCCACGUUGGAAUUUUACCCACUGCAUCGUCAAACAAGUUGCUUUCACGUACAGCUCUGUCAACAGUCCAGGUAAAAAAUGUUAUCGCCGACGAGUCUUCAUCUGCUAUGGUGUCCAAGAAAUGGAAACUUUUGCAGUCAUGCAUAGAGAUCGACACAUCGGCACAUGAGACGGCAGAUAAGAUGAGCAUCAUCAACCCAUCCAUCACACGUACCUUAGUAUGUACGUACUCCCUCCAUCCCACGUAUGGCUUUUUUCACUUCAUAUUUAACUACUUGUCUUAUUUUAAAAAUUUAUGUAAACAUACUUAAAUUUAAGUUAUUUUUAAAGAAUUUUUAUUAAUAAACUAAGUCACGACAAAACAAGUGAUAUUUUAUAUAAAUUUUUUAAUAAAAUAAAUAGUCAAAUUUGAUAUAAAAAAAUUAAAUGUUUUAUAAUUUAAGAUGGAUUGACUAUAUUUCUACCGACCCAUCAUCCACCGUCGGUUGGAUGAGGAAUCUAGUGGCGAUGGAGGUACGCUGAUCACACGAUGGGCCAAAAAUAUCGUGCCGGACAGCAUUGCUGAACACGUGCAGAGCGUUCGUGUCCGGUACUCUUCUUUGUCAUGCUCUACUAGCCAGGGGAGAGUUGUUGAGUUGCGUCUAUCAGGACACCACUGCACGCCCAACAUGUCCAUUAUUUUGUAGCCGCCAGCUUUGUUUGUUUGUCUCUGUUGGCUCUCCUGCAUGCAUGCGCGGUAAGGAGAGUAGCUUUGGGUAAUCUGGUGAUUGGGUAAUAAAGAUGUAUAUAGUCACAUAGGCAUAUAAUUAGUGUAAACUCUUGAAGGAAAUGACCGACUACAAACAAACAAGACAUACAGCGCAUAUGUGUCUAACUAUAUACAUGUCUACAUAUUUAGUUAUGUAGAUCACAUAUAUACAUGUCUACAUAUGUAGUGUUCCGUAAAAGGAAAUAAAUUAAAAUUGAGACUUGUCUGUGUUUGGUCGAUAUAGCAGCCCAUCUGGGCGAGAAGAAAAAAGUCACUCCAGCCCAUCUGGGCGAGAAGUAAAAAGUCACCCCAAAACUUCUCCACGAUACGAUUCCCUCCGUCCCCUAAAAAAAAGAGUCGCCAGGUAUCAUGCUGAUCAAACUUUCUCAACUUCAACUCUAUUUAUAAAAAAUAUAUACAAUAUUUAUAUCUCUAAAUAAUUCUACGCUCUACCAAAUGGUAUCAAUUAUAUACUAUAAGUAUUAAUAUUUUAUUAAAUAUAUAAUUAAUCAAAGUUGUUUACUUUUUGUGAAGCAAGAAUAACUCUUUUUUUAGGAACGGAGGGAGUACAUGCGUUUUCAAUUUAAAAUUUAUUAUUGUUAUAAAUUAAACAUUCUUUAUCUUUUUUUUUUGAAUUACACAGUACAACGCAGAUACUUUAUGAACAUCUUUAAAGAUUAGACUGGCAAUCCUUGAAAUUGACGAAGUUACCACAGACGUCUGUGGCCAAAUUAAAGAACCCUACUAAAUCAUAAAAAGUUCUCUCCAUGGGAGUCAAACGAUACUCACUCCACUAAAUGCAUAACACUAUUAAAUCCAAAAAAAUCGCUCCACAGAGAGUCAAAUGAUACUCUAUGAACAUAUGAACUGGCAAUUCUUGAAAUUAACGAAGUCAUCACAGGUGUCUCGCUCUACUAAAAGCACAACCCUAUUAAAUCCUAAAAAAAUCGCACCCACAAAGAGUCGAACCCAGGAGCUAAGGUGCUGGCAAAAGUAGUUUACGUAUGACCAAAUUUCUAGUGAGUACUAUUCGUAUUUAUGACUCUAAAUUAAUUUAUUAAGAAAAUAUAUUUUAUAAUUAAUCUUAUGGUAUUUAUUUGAUAUCAUAAAUAUUGAUAUUUUUUAACUAUAAUUAGUCAACUUGAGAUACUAAACCAUGACAUUGUACUAGAAUUAUACGUUUUUUUAGACGGAGGAAGUACUAGGCUACAGGUCCUUUAACAUUGUUUAUCAAUCUGUAAGUUUUGUGAUGCGCCCAAAAACUGUCUAUUGUGAGGCUGUGUUUUAAUUUGGAGGUUAUGUUAGAGUUGCUCUUGUUAGAUGAAUGUUUACAUGUGUUUCCUAUAUUAUGUAAUAUGGUUAUACUUUUAUUAUUGUAUUGGCAAUGCAGCAGCAAUUAGUGUCAAAAGUCCGUGCUUAAUUUCGUUCAAAAAAAAAGUCCGUGCUUAAUUAGACUAUAAGACUACCGAGUCAAACUACUGAACGAGCUCCUACUGUACAAAAUAUUAAAAUAGUGUUGAAUGAAUACAAGUCUGGAGGCGAUAGCACGUUCAGACGUUCAGUUUGACCCUGCGGCGGUACAGGACAGGCCACGGUGCUUAUAUACUUGCACAUGUAUAGGCUUUUGUGGCUUGGUGCAUCCUUCAGGAAUCAGGAUCAGCAAACGCGGCUCUAUGAUAACUUGGCCGGAGGCUAGUUGCCAACUUGGACCAUGACAGCUCUAUGAUAACUUUAUCUGUGUAGCCAUCACACAUAGUAACAUGUUGUGCAUCACAUAACUUUGUCACUUUGUGAAACAGUCAAUGUGUAUCACAUGGAUUCUCUACACUACUAGUGAAAAGAAUCCAUUGUGUAUUACCAUACCUCCGUAAUUUACAUAAUACACAUGCACAUUAUGUGCUACCAUCUGGAGAAAAUAAUAUACUCCGAUCCCCCUGUUACAAAUUAUAAGAUGUAUUGCAACAUCAUAAUCUUGUUGAGACCAAAGAGAAUACUGAUCCCAAGUCAACAAGACCACAAACAUUAUGACCGCUCAUAUAUCAGCUAGGAUUGCAAAUGUUGAUGAAGCUAUCAAGCAGUCUCCACUUAAGUUGGAGAAUGCCAUUAUCGUUGCUAUCGGGAUAUCCAAAUCGUUGCUAAAAUGAUAUUUCAAGAUAUUACACAAAGGGUUGUGUGGUUGUCGCUCUCAACGAUCCCUCAACUUGCAACCACCAAUGACAUUGGCGAUGCGUAUUAGCCGCUAACAUCAUCCCAUAUGUACGGUUCUCUUUUCGUAGGUUAAAUAAUAGUAAACACUGAAAGAUAAGUUCACGGAUGCAAAUGGGAUACCCAUCCGGCCUGGGCAAGAACAGCCAAUCAGAGCUAGUAAGCCAAGGGGCUGCAUGCACCAACUUCAUCUAUCGUUUGUGUUGGCAACACAUUUUGGUUCGACAGUGUUGAUUGUAUUGGAGGACUUUAGGGGCAUCACCACACUUACUCUGUAAUGGUAUUCUUUAUCAUAUACACACUCCAUGCAAAACUAGACAUUUUUUUUUAGAAUAAGGCCCUCUUUAGUUCCCCACCUAAAAAUUUUUCAUCCAUCCCAUCGAAUCUUUGGACACAUGCACGGAACAUUAAAUGUAGAUAAAAAAUAAACUAAUUACACAGUUUAGUUGAGAAUCACGAGACGAAUCUUUAAGCCUAGUUACUCCAUGAUUAGCCUUAAGUGCUACAGUAACCCACAUAUGCUAAUGACAGAUUAAUUAUGCUUAAUAAAUUUGUCUUGCAGUUUCCUGACGAGCUAUGUAAUUUGUUUUUUUAUUAGUUUCUAAAAAACCCUCUCGACAUCCUUCCGACACAUUCGAUGUGACACCCAAAAAAUUUUCAUCCCCAAUCUAAACAGGCCCUAAAGAACAUCUUUUGUUAAUAAAGACUACGGCCUUGUUUAGUUCUGAAAACCAAAAAGUUUUCAAGAUUCUCCGUCACAUCGAAUCUUGUGGCACAUGCAUGAAACAUUAAAUAUAGACGAAAACAAAAACUAAUUACACAGUUUUGCUGUAAAUCACGAGACGAAUCUUUUGAUCCUAGUUAGUCUAUAAUUGAAUAAUAUUUGUCACAAACAAACGAAAGUGCUACAGUACCGAAAACUUUUCACUUUUCGAAACUAAACAAGGCCUAUGUAAUGUCUAACUUAGUACUAGAACUAUACUAGUAUAUAUAUUACAAAAAUAAUAUCAAAACCAUCGUUCCCUUUUUAUAUAAAACUCAAAGCUAAUAAGCAACAGCUGAUCUAGAACACUUGUACAUUAAACACUACUAAAAUAGUGGCGUUCUCCUGAUGUUUUAAAUUAGUAGUAAAACACUAUCACUACUCAUAGCACUAGCGAAUCCUCACUAGGAGACAUUUAGUAGGGAAAGUUUGUACUAAAUUUUAAAUACUAAAACACUAGGAGAAGUCCACAUCACUAGGAGAAGAUGAAAAUUCUGCUUGUGAAAUGUUGCCAUCUCACGCGCCAAAAAGCGGUUUGGCGCAUGCCUAGGCCGACGCAGGGCUAGCCAACUUUUUUGCCUUUUUUCAAAAGAUUCUCUCAAAUCGUCAUUGGAGAUUUGAUUUCAGAAUCUAAACUCUGGGCUUGACGCCAUCACCAUUGGUGCUAAGGUAACACGUGGUGCCAAGGGGGCUGCGUGGACGCAUGGGAAGUGCUGCCGUGGCGCUAGGCUUGGCACCGCGUAUCUUGGCGCUAAGGCCAUUGGCGCCAACCUGGCUUACAGGUGGGCCCUUCCUCUUCUUUCUCUCUUCUCUUCACCCUUCCUUUCUCUCUCAUUCACACUCCUCUCCCUCCCGGUCGGCCGCCAGUGCAUCAUCGAUUCUCCCAUCCCUAUCGGCCACCACUUCUCCCUCCCCUACGAUGGAUAACCUAGUGAGCAUAUAUCAUGGAGGCACUAUAGAAAGAGAUCGCUAUGGAUAUGUUGAGUUUGUCGGCAUGCAAAGUGUGCCUGUGUUAUUUGAUGAGAAGUCAUCAUUUAGUGAGUUGGUUGCAAGAUCUCGGGGGAGGUACAUUGCCAUAGAGAUGAUGGCAUUGCAGUUGUGGGUGUACUUUGUUGACGGUCCUUAAGUGUUAAAUUUAACCAUCAACUAAACAUAGAAAAGGAUCAAUAUGCAUCAAAUAUCUAGAAUUAGGGUUUUAUCUGACAGAAUUCCACGAGCUUUGGUGUUUGUCUAUUUCUGUAGGGGGUUAUCAGAAAAUAUGGAGAGAAGGACCACAUGUCAGGUUUACAACGAGAUAAUUACGUGACGCGCAAUUUUCCUUAAUCUAGAAGAGUCCAGAAGCCACGGGAACGAACGGGAGGCCGAACGGGCCCGGGGGCAGGGCGCCCGCCCAACCCCCUUGGGCGCCUGCCCACCUGAAGCAGCCAAUCAGGCUCCGUCUCCUAGAUCGUGCUCCACCGCCUCUAAUCUUCAAGAAUAACCGUGCGAUUAAUGUCGGUUUGAUCCAACGGCCCACAUUCACUUGAGGGGGCUAUAUAAGCAAGGCCUCUCCACCCCAGGGGAGAGGAGAAAUCAUUAUCAGAGGAAGCCAUCAAAGUUAGGGUUUAGGAAUUUCUCUCCCGCAGAGAAUUAGAACUAGCUACUCCCAAUUCCUUCAAGUUCUAUAGGAUUGAUUAGAUAGAAUUAGAGAAGUAGAGCCUAGCACUCUGGAUUUUGGAUCUUCAUCAAUAAAGAUUGGUAUUAUUUUAUAUCUUUCUCUACUACUUUAUUCUAAUUGCAUUAUGUCUCUAUUUAUUAUGUUCUUAGUUUGCUCUAGUUCUGUAUUUGAUAUAGUUAUGAUUGAUAAUGAGUUUAUGUAUAAGUUUGCAAAGCGCUUAGCUCUUGACUCGAGGGAGUUAAGUGGUAGAUCAUAUGUGAGCGUGGUGCUUAGAUAUUAUUUACCUGCAAAUGUAUCCUAUUGGUUGGGUCGUGUGGUAGUUCGCGAUGGUGACAGCUUCGUUGAUUCUUAUAUAGUCCACUCUCCGUUGAUUGAACAGGUAGAAUUUGUGUUGCGGAGUAAGUCUUGCUAUGUUCUGAUUUACUUUAGCAAUGUUCCUUAUACAUGAAUAAAGAGUCUUUUGUGCUAUAUAUGAUCUUAUAGAUAACUAGAGUAGAUUGUGACUUAGUAGAUAGUAGAUACUCAGAAUCCAUUCUCUAGCUAAUCUGACGUCACCUUACAUUUAUGUGGAGUAGUCUAUUUCUAAUUGCUGUGUUAUUUACCCAUGAGCUUAUAUUUCAUUAUCUUUAUUAUUAUGGCUUACCCCCUGCUAAAGCAAGUGACUGUGUGACGAGUUCCUCAUUAGUAAUCAAGUUAUUGCAAGUUUAUCGCUAGUCUAUGCCUUGAUAGAUUUUACCCGUGUUUUCACUUUCGUCGUUCUCUUAAGCAAAAUAUAAAUAACGAUACCCGGAAUACUUUCCUGGUGAAAUGCUACAAUGAGGUAUUUUAUCUGUGCGCUUGCGGAUAGAAUAGAUUAUUUUCUAGAGAGCCUCCAUAUUCAUAAAUCCUUUGUACACUCUAGCACCAUGCUGGGGAUGACAACCUAGUAUCCAAGUAGUGUUAGUAAGUGUCAACAUACUUCACCUAGGUUGCCCUCCAAACUUGCUAAGGAAGAUUAUCCCAAUUAGGUGUGCAGAUUAGUGGGAGAAGUAUAUGAGAUCGGCUAUGAAGAGACAGUUCUAAAGUUUGGAUGUGGUUGUGCCGCGGGUGUUUAUUAAUCUGAUCCUUCAUGGGUUUUCCCCGUCAAUGGCACAGCAAGCAUACUUUGACCCUCUAGCCCUUGAUAUGGAUGUGGAGGUUGUACGUACUGUUCUCGAUGCCCAAUCUGCCCCCAAUGAGGUCCCUAUUGCUAGAGAUGCUUGUCGGCCUCAUAAUGUUGUGCUAGAAUCUCCUCAGAAGAUCAUGUUGACACAUAAUCAUCCGAGUAAGUGUCUUUUUGCAUCAUUCUUUGGAGCUUACCCCUUCAUUUCAACUAUUUAUCUCAUUCUCUCAUUGUAUUGUAGCUUAUGCUGCAGGAGACAUUCCCAACAAUGUGGAUGUUCCUUCUGUUGAUGCUCAACACUACGGGAGGGAGUGGCUUCCCCUAGUGCCAAAUGCACUCGGGGAAGGCCUAAUAGCACUCGGGGAAGCCUUCCCCGAGUGCAACUCGGGGAAGAGUGCCCGGGGUAUCUCUUCACGGUAAAGACGUCUUCCCCGAGAGCCAAAACUCGUGCACUCGGGGAAGUCUUUUCCGAGAGCCAUCCUAGCACUAGGGGAAGAGUUGACGCCGUUGGUGGCCUCCGGCGCCGUUUGCUUGUUAAAAAAAAAAUCUUCCCCGAGUGCAACACUCGGGGAAGGCACUAUCUUUCCCGAGAGCCGAAGGCCAGGCACUAGGGGAAGACUCCUUCUUCCCCGAGAGCUGCAGCCAAAGCACUAGGGGAAGACUUCCUCUUCCCCGAGAGCCGCUGCCAAAGCACUAGGGGAAGACUCCUUCUUCCCCGAGAGCUGCAGCCAAAGCACUAGGGGAAGACUUCCUCUUCCCCGAGAGCCGCUGCCAAAGCACUAGGGGAAGACUUCCUCUUCCCCGAGAGCCAAACUCUGUGCACUCGGGGAAGCCAUUUCGAAUUUUUUUUUUGCUUUUCCAUUUAAUCAACAGAGCAUAUAUAUAUAUAUAUAUCACAGUCCAAAAAUCAACAGCAAUAUAUCAAAAACCACAUUUAUAUAUAUCACAAAUGACCAAAUUUAUACGAAAUUCAGAAUAUAUUACAAACCACACGUUCAAGAGUACAUAUUAUUCUAAGUUCACAAGUUUAAUACAUAAAAACAACUCCCAAGGCAGCUCACGGCGACUGUCCAGUGUGCGAUGCCGGCGAGGGUUGGGACGCCCCAGCUUGCGAUCCCAGCGACGGUCUAGGUGUGCAUAGCACGCCGUGCGAUCCUGGCGACCCUCCGACAUGGUUGGACGCCGCCCCCGAUGCAUGCUACAAAAGAGAGGGCAUUGGAUGUGAGUGACAAAUAAAAAUGUAGAGUGUAAAGAAAAAUUGGAAAUUUCGGCAGCACCUCCCCUGCACGGGGAGGUUUCCAAAACCUGCAAGAGAAACGUCGACACGAAGGCCGACAACCACAUGUCUGGCACGAUGGCCGUCACAUCAACAAAUCCAGCACGAAGGCCGACACAUCAACAAAUCCGGAGAAGGCCAUCACUAGGUUUUAUGCUAAGUAUGAGCAAAGAAAGUAAAACAUCCAUACUAAUACUCAUCGGAGUAGACUCUCGACGAUAUGGUGGUGGUGGUGGUGCAAGCAGCUGUGCUGGGAUCUCCCAACCUUGUUGUUGCCCAAGUUGUUGCACGAACUAGAGCAAACCCUCUUGCUGGGCCUCCAAAGCUUGUAUCCUCUGAUGCUCGGCCUCCCGCUCGGCUCGCUCAGCCUCUCGCUCAGCCAACUGGGCCUCCUGCUGGGCCCGAAGUGCUAGCAGCUCGGCCUACAACAUUUGAACCCAAUGUUUCAAUAAUGCAAAGGUAAGGAACGUAAAAUUGAAAGAACGAUGAAUGAAACUGGAAUACUUACCUGUAGUGCCUCCACCGCUGUUGGCCGUUGGCUUAUGGGCACGCUAGAGCUCGUGCUCGCUGCUCGUAGACGGUUGAGAGGAGGAGUACAACCUGUCUCAAGGAUGCCGUCGCCAAUGUAGAAUCGUCCAUGCUUCUUACCUUGCCCAAUCCUCAUCACUAGCUCAGGAUCAAGGCGCUCCUCAGUCCUCGGAUCGUAGUCCGACCCAUGGACUAACCUCGAUGCCUCCAUGUACGAACUGAGACGGGUGUAGACGCUAGAGUUUGUGUACACCUCUGGGCCUGCAUCAGGGUUGUACUCGAUGUUGGACUUUGCUGGGCCCAUGUGGGCCAGAGCAUACGCCGUGAGUUGGCCAAUUGGCUGGCCACCGUGCGCCGCCUCCUGCAAUAUAGACAACAUGUGGUUUGCAAUCAUGCAGAAUUGAGCGUGGCUAGAUUAGACAAGUGGUGGAGACUUACAUAUGUCUUCUUGUAUUUGCUGAGGCUCGCGCUACCCUGAUGGUGAGGUACACCUGGCAUCAGCAUACGUUGCUCGCUUUUCUCUUGGUGCAACUUCUGCCAGUCUGCGUCUAACCAUUUGUCCACUAUAGCAUCCCAGCAAUCGGGAUAGGUGGCGCACCAAUUUGGAAUCACCUACAAGCCAUCAGAAGAUCAAAUUAGGCAUAGUUAAUCCGAAAAGGGAUCAAUAGGAGAUGUUUUCAAUUUACCUGAAGAUACUGCUCUCUUGUUAGAAUCUCUCUUCUUGACUGAGGUCUGUUGAUUCUUCUAUGACGGUAGGUGGCAUUAUAAUCAAUGUGCGCCUGCAAGCGGGACUCGUAAUACAAGUCCGAGACACGCCUUUUACAGGAAGCGUAAGCCACCUGAUACGCCCUUUCCUCCUGUCCUGGCUGGCAUCUGAAGUAGUCCUGCAUAAAGACACAAGACACAAGGUAUCCAUUAUUUUAUUUUAAGAAUGUACAAUGAAUUGAGGGCCAUAGAGCGAGAAAGGCUUACCCACAACUCUGAAAUCACCUGAUCCGCCAAGUUUCUAUAUGGAGCACUGGCGGGGAAGAGAGCGUACUGGUCGAACGAGGGUAUCUCUCCGUCCACAUCCUCCUCUGACUUGUAGACUAGGCCAGGAAAGUGUUCCCUGCACAAAAGUCCCAGGAUCCCAUUGACAUUGCGAGCCUCGCCUCCAUCCUCCACAAGUAUCCAGUUCCUGCAUAAGUGGUUAACAAUAGUUAGUAUGAUUUUUCAAAAUAUCAAAUGAAGAACAUAUGAAAUUACUUACUUAUCCCCCUCGGGUGCAAUCAGUGGGCGGCGGUCAAUAGGAAUGGGUCGCUUCGGGAGCUGGCUGGGACCUCGCUUAUAGGGUUUUGAGGCACUGGAGGAAGUCGAACCCCCUACCCCCUCCUCAGACAUGUGUGGAACCCCCUCCUCGGACUCGGGCGGGACCUCCUCAUCGUACAUCUGUGGAGGGACGUCGUCGCCCCUAGAAGAGCGAGAGGAGCCAAGGUCGUGGUCAGUCGAUGGCUCUAGCCUGGGCCUGCCUCUCGCCCUCCUCUGCCUCUCUGACGGCUCCGUCUCCGUCUCCUCAACCGCUGGCGUGUCCCUCGGUCUCGAGUAAGCCGAGCGACACCUCCUAGUGGGCCCCAUCACCUGCAAUUAAAAAGAAUAAAGUAGUAUUAGUAUAGAUAAAUGAGAAGUACUUAGCAAAGGAUGCAAAAUAAAUAAAAUGUAAUUACAUAACAUAUUACAUGUAUUUCUAAUAUUCUUCAUGAUCGGGAUUAUCUCGACAAUAGCUAUCGUCAUCACUAUCAAGAGCCUCCAAAUUGUCAACGGCCUCAUCCUCAUCACUGUCAUUAUCUAGUUGUAGUCCCUCAAGCAUUUUCAAGUCUCUCGGAUCAUGCACCUCAUCUGCAGCUUCCUCGUCAACAACCCACUCUUCGUCUACUUCCAUUUCAAUCUCUCCGGUUAAGUCUAUCUCGAGCAUCCCUGGUAGCCCCUCGUCUUGUUGAUAGAACUCCUCGUCAUGCGUGGGUGGGUUCAAGUUGUAGUCAUCAUCGUUUGGGCGAGGACAUUUACCAUGUGGUGAUACCUUGUGCACAAUAUACCAACCCUGAAGACGUGGGUCAGUUUUGCACGCAUAUGGACAAUAAUAAACUUGCCUAGCUUGUUGAGCCACAAUAUAUACAUCUUCUCCUUGAUAGAAGAUGUCCUGUCUAGUUUCGACUAUCCCAAGUUUAGGGGACUUUCUCAAUAUUGCAGGAUCAAACCACUGGCACUUGAAUAUGACUGGCUUAGGUGCUUUUUCUCCAUGGUAUUGGAGCUCAUAUAUUUCUUCAACUAUGCCAUAAUAGUCCUCUUGCUCAGCGCCUGGCUCAACUUCUCCAGGCGUAAAUACUCCGGUAUUCGUCGUCCUUGGAUUGGGACGAUUCUUCUCAUAGCUUGGGGUAUGAAAGCGAUAUCCAUUCACAUCAUAAGCGUUAAAUGACGAGACCUUAUAGUCAAAGCCUCUAGCCACUUGUCGUAAUUCAGCACUUAUAGUCAAAUCCCUUUGGCACUGCAAGCUCAAGCAUGAGAAAAGAAAUUAGGCAACUAGAAACACCAAACUUGGAACGAGCCAAGUUGGUCAGAAGGUACCUUUCUUUGGAACCAUGUAAUGAAAUCAGGCGAACUAUGUUGAAGAAGGGUCUCUCGUUCAUGGUCAGAAGGUGGCCUUGAAUGAUGCCAGUAUUGAUCAAAAAAUUCCCUACACCAACAAGCAACAAGGUUGGAUGCAGAAAAUUUACGAAGUAUGUAACAAGUUCAUCGAGAAUUUACCUCUGAUACUUGUCGACUUCGUCAAGGUUUGUCAACACGUAGAGCAUGAUCUUGCGCCACUCUGCAUUGGUCAAGAACUUUGUGGCUGCUCCACUUGAUCUCCCGCGUUGCCCUUUGAAUAGGCUGAGGGUCGAUUCAUUUUCAUCCUCGUUGUAACGAGAGGGUGGAUUAUGCACGCUUGGAAGGUUCUCACUAUAAUAUGAUGUUGUGAAGUUUGACACCUCCUCACGAAUGAAUGCCUCUGCUAUGGAAGCCUCAAUCCUACCUUUGUUUCCACAUUUUUGGCGAACAGUCUUUAGACAUCUCUCGAUUGGAUAGCACCAACGGUUCUGCACGGGGCCCCCCAAUCGUACCUCAUUCGGGAGGUGCAAAAUCAAAUGCUGCAUCGACAAGAAAAAGCCAGGUGGAAAGAUCUUCUCCAUCUUACAGAGUAACUCGGGUGCUGUUUUUUCCAACUCCUCAACCACUUUCAAAGAUAUCUCCUUGGCACAAAGCUGGCGGAAGAAAAAGCUCAAGUCUGCCAGCACCUUCCAGACAUGCUCAGGGACGUAGCCUCGAACCAUCGAAGGAAGAAGCCGCUCAAUCCAUAUAUGGAAGUCAUGACUCUUCAUCCCUAAGACUCGGCCAGUAUCUGGGUUUGCUCCCCUCCUAAGAUUCGCUGCAAACCCAUCAGGGAAACUUAACGUCUGCAUCCAUUCUAUCACUUCUUUCCUGUGCGCCUUUUCCAAGACGUAAUCGUCCUUAGGUCUUUUCCAUGAUUUCCCGUCUCUUGGAGGCAUCAUUUGUAGCUUUGGUCUGUCACAUAGUGUUGCCAUGUCCACUCUGGCCUUAGGGUUGUCCUUUGUCUUGUCAGGAAUGUCCAUGAGUGUUGCCCAAAGUGCUUCAGCGACAUUCUUCUCAGUGUGCAUUACAUCUAUGUUGUGUGGAAGGCGAAGGUCAUCAAAAUAGGGAAGCCUCUCCAACCCCGACUUAUGAGUCCACAUAUGUUCCACACCAUAGCCCACAAAGCGAUCUUUGUUUGGCUCAUCUUUCUUUGGAUUAACUUUCAUUCUUUUACCCUUCUUUGGAUUAUCUUUCUGCAUUGGGACCACGAGAGCAUCUAUCUGAGCAUGAACUUGGGCACUAGUCAUCUUUUGAGGUAUAGGAUCGGUCACCGUGACCCCUUUCGUGAAGUUCUUGAUGUCUCCUCUAAAUGCAUGGUCAAGAGGGAGGAACUGUCGAUGCUUGUCGAACGACGAGAACUUGCCACCAUUCUUCAACCAAAUGAACUGUACAGCUGUCUUGCAUAUCGAGCAUGGAAACUUCCCAUGGACACACCAGCCGGCAAAUAUCCCAUACGCCAGGAAGUCAUGCAUGGAGUACUGGUACCAAACAAACAUUCUAAAGUUCUUCUUUGUAGCUCGGUCGUAAGUCAAUACGCCUUCAUUCCAAGCCUUGAUCAACUCAUCAUAAACAGGCUGCAUGUACACACCCAUUUUGUUUCCCGGGUGUCCAGGAAUUAUCAACGUCAAGAAUAUGUUUUGCCGUUGAAGUAGGACACCAGGGGGGAGAUUGAGGGGGAUAGCGAACACAGGCCAACAAGUGUAUGGGGCCGACAUCAUUCCAUAAGGAUUAAACCCAUCCGUUGCCAGCGCAACACGUACAUUACGUGCCUCUUCAUCUUUGUCACGAUGGUUGGCAUUAAAGCUUUUCCAUGCUUCACCAUCUGCUGGAUGUACCAUCUUAUCAGGAUUGUAUCGAACGCCAUUCUUGUGCCAUGUCAUCUGUUUUGCGGACUCCUCGGACAUGAAUAGUCGUUGGAGCCUCGGUAUGAUCGGAAGGUGUCUUAGGACUUUCAUGGGGAUAUUCUCAUUCUGCUGCUUCUUUCCAUCACCUUUGUCUACCUCUACAUACCUAGAGGAUUUACACUUUGGACAGUACUUUGCAUCAUUGUGUUCUUCCCUAAAUAGGACACACCCCUUCGGACAACAAUGUAUCUACUCAUAUGGCAUCUUUAGUGCCCGAAGGAGUCUCGUUGACUCGUGCAGGCUGCUCGGUAGAUGAUGACCCUCCGGAAGUAGGCCCCCAAUAAUUGCCAUCAUAUCAUCGAAGCAGGCUCGAGUCAUGUUGUGCUGGGACUUCAACCCUAGUAGACGCCCAAUGGCAUCAAGUUGAGAAACUGUUGUCUUCUCAUGUAGGAGCUUUUGUGCCGACUCUAACAUGGCCAAGAACGCCUUAGCGCUCGGCUCUGGCUCCUCCUCAUCCCCGUGCUCGUCCUCCGUAGGCCUUUCCGCGAACGUCGCAUCCUCAUAGUCACCUAACCAUCCUGCUACCCCGCCAUCACCAUCAAAUGUCUCCAAGUGUUGUCUCACGGACUCCUCUCUAGGACAAUAGGGUUCACCAUGGCAAACCCACCGGGUAUAGUUUGGCAUAAAUCCAUACUUGCAAAGAUCCUUCAUCAUGACUUCCCUUGUUCUUCUUUUUUUGUUCUCACAAUGGCUGCAAGGACAGAACGUGUCUAUCGCUCCCUUAGCUGCCUUAAAUGCAUGUUCCAAAAAUUUCUCGGUCUUAUCCAUCCAUUCACGGGUCAUUUGAGUCUGACUUGAGCGUCCCGUGUACAUCCACUCACGGUUAUCCAUCCUCUAGCAUAUACACAUAAUGGACUAAUAUAACCAUCAAUCGAAUUUGCACGGCGUGUCUACUGUCUAAUAGGUGAGGAUAGGUCCUAAUCCCACCCGCAGAUGCGUAGAUAAGGUUAGUUUUCAUGCUCUACUCCAAUCCAAGACGAAAUUUUGGCAGCACCUCCCCGCUGCUCUCCCGAUACACGUCCUACAAGGGAGAGUGUGUAUCCGAAGAACAAUAGGGAGGUGGUGCCAAAACUUCAUCUUGGAUCCGAGCAGAACAUGAAAACUAACCCAUCUACGCAUCCGCAGGCUGUCCAAAAAAACGUGGACAAUCCAAAACAGAUACGGUUAUAGUUAUGUAGAGAUCCACAUAGCUCAAACAGUAUCUGUUUUGGACGGGAGACACCUAACUAGGCUAUACCGAUCUACGUACGACAACGAUAAGGAAGAGAGCUCAAUUAUACCUACGGUGGUGGUGGAGACAGGCUAGCGGUGCAGUGGCGAGUCGGUGCAGUGGCGUGGCGAUGCAGUGCAGGCACGACCGCAACACCGACGAAGACGACCAGGGUCACUGAGGUGCUCUGGGUCCCUUCUGAUAAGUCUUGCUCUACAAAAGAAGAAACAUAUCACUAUUAAUUCAAAAAUUCGACAGAACAUCUUAUAUGACCUAUAUAACUAGUUUCUUAUGUCAGUGUAUCUAAAAUUUGUACUGAAAAAAUAUCCAGAAAAUACCCUAAAAAUUUGUUCAACACACAGAAACUGAACUGACAUGUCUCUGGAAGAAAAGAGAUAAAAACGAACUGGAAGAGCAGCAGACCAUCGGGAAACUGACACUUCGACCCUGACGAGCACCUAACACUUGCUGACUUGCACACAAUUGAGUUAAAUCUGGUGCUGCUGUAAACAGAGAACUGAGAUGAGGAGCUGCUCUCGAACUAGUAACCAGAACUGCAAGUAGCGGCAAGAGCUGCUCUGACCGCUUCAACAAGAAUCAGAAAGGAACGAUGGUCAAACGUGAAUACUACUCAGGCUAGUAAAGAUGUCUAGGUUUUAGACAUCCAACAUCGCAAACUUAUUCUAAACCUUCUCAAUUUUUUAUCAUAACCUCUACAUGCGAUAACAUGACGUCCAGACAAGUUUCUUUAUUUUUGGACUUUUUUCGGAUUUUAUAUAAUUUUAAAACACUUUUUCCGUAAGUUGUAUCUCAUGUUUCGAUAACAAGAUGUUUCACAUUUGAUUUGAGCUUCUGGAUACGGUCUUAACAUACACCAAAUAUCGUUAAUAUAAUUUUUUGAAUACAAAAAUUCUAUUAUUUAAUGCACCUACAGUUCAAAUUCGAAGUUUGCAAAAAAAUCAAUGAAACGAAAAAAAAACUAAUAAAAUAUACUAAAAAAGUUUAAAUAUCCCUAAAUUUGAACAAGAAGUUUGAAAUAAUGUAGGAAGGCAAAAGAAAAAAAUUUGGGCAAAAAAACAAAAAACAAAAAAAACUUCCCCGAGUGUCUUUCCUGGCUCUCGGGGAAGGGCCUCUUCCCCGAGUGCAAAACUCACAGCACUCGGGGAAGCCACCAGUUUCCCCGAGUGCCUGUCUUUUAGCACUCGGGGAAGAGGCCCUUCCCCGAGAGUUUUUUAUGGCGCUCGGAGAAGAAUUUUUUUUCAUUUCAAGCUCCAACGGCGCCGUUUGCUUGGGACGUCAAGGAACACUUUUCUUCUCCGAGUGCUUGUCUUCCCCGAGUGUUGCGCUCGGGGAAGAACACUUUUUCCGAGUGUCAUUCUUUCCCGAGUGCCAGGUAGGCUACGGCACUCGGGGAAGCCUCUCUUCCCCGAGUGCAAUUCUUCCCCGAGAGCAACACUCGGGGAAGACUGGGUUCCCCGAGUGCUCGAUUUUUGGCUCUCGGGAAAGCCUUUGACACUCGGGAAAUUUCGUUUCUCCCGUAGUGCAAGUGCCCCAUGGAGAUGGAUUUUGUGACUCCAAACAGUGUUAAUUCAGAGCCAUAUGAGAUCGCAAGGGCAGUUGAUUCUGAUGAUGAUCGUCCUGUUGGAGAGCUAACAAAAAGUGAUGUUGAAAUGCUGAGGCGUAUCUUUCUUGGGCAUCGUGAUCCUAGAGUUCAUGAGUUCAGUGAUCUUACUCAUUCAGAUUAGGUGUGUGCAGAAGGCUGUGAUGAUGAGCUGCAGGUAGCUCAAGAGGUUGGUCUAGAAAUGAUAACAAAGAAGGGGAGGGUUUUCAAGGACCUCCCAGCAUUGAAGAGGUGGUUGCAGGCAUUUGCAGCGAUAUGCAAGAGAUCUUACAAAGUCCUGCAUUUGUAUGUGGAAUGGUGUUACAUGGUUGUGUGUGACAAAGAGUGCUACCCUUGAGAGUUCGUGCAAGGAAGCAAAAGUUCACCGAAAAGUGAAAGAUCACAAAAGUUAUCAGGCCACAUACUUGUGCUUCACAUGACCUCAACAUGAAGCAUCGACAAUUGACAUCUACCCUCAUCGCCAAGCAAUUAAUGGGAAUAUUGCAAGGAGGGACCAACAUGAAGGUCGCAACAAUUAUAAGGAUAGUUAUAGAGGUGUAUCAUGGUUAUAAGAUAACUUAUGGUAAAGUCUGGAGGGCUAAGAAGCGGGCAUGGAAGAUGAUAUAUGAGAACUGGGAGGAUGGGUAUGAGCAACUUCUAGUACUUCUCAAUGCAAUCAAGGCGAUGAAUUUAGGCAUGCAUUAUGAGUACAUCCCUAAACCGAACGCAUAGAAGGAUGGGAGGCAGAUAUUCUUCCAUGUUUUUUGGUGCUUUCCUAGCUCAGUGUGUUGAGGUGAUUAGGCACUAUCGUCCAGUCUUCUCCAUUGACGGUAAAUUCUUGAUUGGCAAGUACUGGGGCACACUUCUGAUAGCCAUAUCCGUUAACACAAACAACAAGUUGGUUCCUUUCACAUUUGCAUUGGUUGAGAAGGAGAACCAUGAUAGUUGGGGAUGGUUAGUCAAAAGAACUAUGUACCCUUGUUUGGUACAUGUUCUCACAUGCCAUUUCAUAUGUUCUCACAUGUCAUUUCAUGUUCUUGUUGUUGGCUCCAAUUAACUAAGGCAUGUUAGGUUUAGUGCAGGACCUCUGUACCCUAGCUUGGUACAUGUUUUUGACAUGCUAUUUCAUGUGUUGUGUGGUGUGAAUUAUGUAGUCCGCGAGUUCGUUAUAUUUUAUUUGCAAUACUUCAACUCAUUUUAUUGCCUUUGCAAUAUUGAACUAAAUAUAAUGACUACUAAUAAUGAAACCAUAAACACAUAUGACAGGUCCAAUAACAUUUGAAAUACAUGACAACAUACUAAAUAACACAAAACAUUCCCUAGGGACACCCAUACUUAAAGUGCAUUACAUGAUAACACAUUGCAAAGUCUAACACUAAACAACAUUGUUCAUGAAUAAAUCAAAGAAUUAGCAAGUUAUGUAAACUAUUAAGUGCAACGAGACCAAUUUCUCUUUCUCUGGGCAUCGGGAUUCUCCUCCAUCAUUGCCUUUGCUCGGUGCACAAGCUCAAGCUUCUUCUCCCUCUCCUCCAUGUACGCAGCAACAUGUCUCUUUUUCUUCUCUUCCUUGUGCUCCUUCUGUAGAGCCUCCCCUCUAUGUCUCUUCUCUAAUAUCUCAUCACGCUCCACAUAUCACUCCUUUAGGCCUUGUAGAAGCCGCUUGUCCGACUCCUUAAUCUCAGUGUCGAUCCACUGCUCAAAUUCACACAACGGUGGAGGGGUCUGCAACAAAGAUAAUUGUUACAAAAUAAAUAAAUCAUGUUUUAUAUGACAUAAAAUACUUAAUGCACAAUAAAAAUUUCUCACAAUAAAGUUACUGUGGCGCUAUUGUGGUGUAGGCUCCCAUGUAAAAUUGGAACACAUCUAAUACCUCUGCUUAUAGGUUUCCUCAUCUUUAGAAAUUUCUACCUUGCAAGGAUCACCACAAACGCAUAUGGCUCUUGCAACACCAUUAAGGAGAGGCUUUCGAUCCUAAGGACUUCCGAUCGUCUGGCCAUAGCUACAGUUGAAACAAUUUUCUGCUAAUAGGCGAACCAAAAACCAUUAAACCCUAAACCUAGGGUUUACCAGAUAAUACACAACAAUGAAUGCAUACCUUGGUUUGCUAGCCUUUCCACGCCUUAGCAUCCUACAGGUGUAUAUUGAAAACAAAUUUUAAAAAGAACAUGAAAUCCUAAGUAGUGACGAUUCUUAUGUUUGAAAAUACGAAAAAUAUAUACCGAAUCGAUGCAAUAAAAACUAGUAGGGGAGAGAGGAUACCUUGCUCUCGAAGAUCUACGAAUCAAAUCCAAGUUUUCUCGGUCGAAAAUGGCGAAUCAUGAGGUAAGGGAAAGUGGUGACAUAAGAAAACCCGAGAGCGAGGAGAAACAAAAGGAGGAAGCCUCAGGACGGAAGAGGGGCUGGCCAUCCAUUUAAACAGUAUCUUGGUGCCAAGAUCCAUAGCACCAAGCUUGGCGCCAACGGUAAUGGUGCCAAUGAUGACAGCGCUAAGGUGCCCGCCAUGUUAGCUAUAAUGACGGUAUGGUAAAAAAACCAUGGCGUCAAUGGGGUUGGCACUAAGAGCAUCUCCAGCACUACUACCUAAAACUGACUACCUAAAUGUCUAUUUAAGUAGCCACUUAUUUUUAUACUACCUAUAUUUUACCUUUAACUCCAGCAGUACUACCUAAAAUAUGCCUCCUAAAUUUUUUCUGCAGUCCAUGACAUACGGGACCCAUGUGUCAUCUUCUUCCUUGGCACCAUUGACGAACUCGGCCAUCGAGAGGGCCGACCAGGGCCGCCACGCCUGGAGAGCCCACGUGCCGGUGGCAGGGGAGGGGAGUCGCUCGCACGUCGCGCCUGGUAGCUGGCGGGGAGGAAGAGCCAUGCGCCGGUGCACGGGGGAUCGAGGGGAGCCGCUCGCGUGCCGCGCCUGGGCCGGUGGAGAGGAGGAGCACACGCACUGGUGGCGCUGGGAGGGGCCAUGGGUGAUUCAGCCGUCGUUCCUCGAAGCAGGGCCGACGUGGGGAGGAUGCACGCCAGGGUAGAGGAGGUUCACCAGGAAGGGUUGGUUCGCCAUCGGGGUGCAGGGCCGGUAAAGCACGGGGGGCUAGAGCUCCGCAUCUAGCAGUCCGGGGAAGGUCGCGUGUGUACGAGCGCCUUCGGGAGAGAGGAGCGUGGGAGAGGAAAAUAGGUAGAGAGAUUUGUCGGCCCAACAAAUGUAGGUAGUGGGAGAGAAAAUUUGUUGGCACAACAAAUUUAGUUAGGCUAAUAGGUAGCCUAUUGGAGUGCAUUUUUUGGCUUUCACUACCCAAAUAUAGGAUAGGUAGCAUGUUUAGGUAGUCUGCUAGAGAUGCUCUAAGACGUAUUACCUUGGCACCAAUGAUGAUAGCGUCAAACCCUAGGUUUAGAUUCUGAAAUCAAAACAUUAGGAACAUAUUUGAGAGGAUCUUUCAAAAAAAAGACAAAAAAAACAAAAAGGGCUUGAAUUGCAGCGCACACCACACCAGCCCGAGCUCAAUUUAGCUUUAGGGGUGUUUGGCACGGCUCCUCACGAGAAGCUCCUCUAGAGGAGCCGGAGCUAUUUUGGCGCCGAAGCCACAAAUUGUGGCUUUGCCAAAACGGCUUUGACUCUCUACUUUUUAUUAAAAAUAACUUCUCCAGAAAAACGUUUGGUAGUCUGGAAGGCAAAGCCGGACGACCAACAAGUGAGUCCACCUCCUCUACGCGUCUGAUGAAGUGAAGCGCGUCGGUCCCCUGCUGGAGACAACCAAGCCAAGCAGAUAAGAUGCGGUGUGAUACGCAGCAGGUACGCAACACCGCCAUGGCGUUCUGGCCUUGUGCCAAUUGUCGUGUGUAGCAUCGUAGCCGUGUCAAAUAUUUGAAGGGCUGAGCCGCUGAUGAGGUGAAUGACAAGAACAAGAGCUUAGGGUCAAAUCCUUGUCACUAAAGCUGAAUCGAGCUUUAGUGAUGUACGUCUAAAGGUUAUUUAUUUUUUUAUAGUGGCAGUAGUAGGUAAUUUUCUUUAGAAAACAAAACAUAUCCAAUGUCCAUUAUUCUUUAUAUGAUGAUUAGAGUAGGCUAAAUAGAUGACCAUUUGUUUCUUAUUUUGUACGAGAAUUUCAAGAAUACAUCUCUUUUUUUCUAUGACAAUGUGGAUGUUCUGUUGAAGGAAUCUGAUUAAUAAUAAUGUAAAUAGAUGUGGUGUAAUCCUUUGUAUUGCACCUCCGUGGGUCUUUCAAAUGUAUUUAGUUAAAAUCUGAGCUUAAAUUAUAUCAAUUCUUGUUACAUCCUUCUAUAACAUCAUGAAUCUAUAUUUUUGUUUUACUUUUGAUCUUAUUAUUAUUGAAUUGUUUUAUCCACACGUUAAGUCCAAACUAUAGUCCAUAUUAUAUUGUAUUUGGAUUUAUUUUGUAUUUAUUAUAAAUAUAUAGGGUCCUAGACUACACCCUUUUAUAUAUCCCUUACUAAGUGGUUUACUAUAACAUUACGGUAAAUAUCUCCAUGUGUUAUAGUAACCCAACUAUCGUGUGUGUAUAUAUUAUCGUAAAUUAGUAUAUAAAAUUAUCGUAAAUGGAGGUGGCUACAGAAUAAUAUAUUUUGUAGCUACCUACAGAGUAUACUAUAUAUAUAUAUAUAUAUAUAUAUAUGACGCGUUUCUUUUACACGCACGUGUAGUUACUCUCAUCUAUGUAUCUCUAGAUUUAAUGUGUGUGUGUGUGUGUGUGUGUGUGUGUGUGUGUGUGUGUGUGUGUGUGUGUGUGUGUGUGUGUGUGUGUGUGUGUGUGUGUGUGUGUGUGUGUGUGUGUGUCUAAUAGGAUUCUUUUAUAGAAACAUAUAGUGCUUAUAAAAAUAAAUUAUCACUAUUGAUACUUCAUAGUGGUUCAUAAACUUAAUUAUCUAAAGUAAUCACUUUGACAUUAUUGAUAUUUCAUAGUGGUUCAUGAACUUCUCUAAAGUAAUCACUUCAAAUUUAUUACCAUCAUCAAGUACUAGUAUAGCUUAUAAGUAAAUUGCAAGUGUUGUGUUGUUGGCAUGUAAUUUGUUAAGAGAAGAUUUCUUCACCAUUAACAAAUUCUUAUUAAAUAUUUAUUCUAAUGCAUGUAUGGUUACUUAUUAGUCACCCGGGCAGCAUAUAGCAUUUGUGAUUAUUUUAAAUUUGAUGUAGACCUAGGUAAUCUAGAAAUACACAUAUAAUAACAUAUUAUGGUUAUCGAAUUAUUUUUCCAUAAUCGCUUAUAUUGGUAUUUUGACAUAAUUUGGGAGAUACUUUGUUUGUUUUUAGAAACAAUUGGUGUGGGCAAUUUUAUAUAAGUUGAAUUGUUUACUCGGUAUCAUCGGGUUAUUUAAAGUCAACAUUUAUAACUACAAGGUGCCUAAUUUAGAUGGAAAUUGUCAUAUGCAUGUUUAUAUGUUAAUUUAUGUACUGUAUUUUAUUUUAAUGAUAGUGGUAGGUAAUUUUUUAUAGAAAAAAUGGAUCUUAUUGUCUUGGUCUCUUUACGCAUGUUUAUAUAGUGGAGGCUACAUCGGUUUCCUUUAUAAGGUCAAAUAAACACCAUACAUUACAGAUUAUGUGCUACCAUCUGAAAAUAGUAUACAGUAUACCAUGCUACAAAUUUUCAAGGUACGUGAAUAGGGCCUUGUUUAAUUCGUGAAAAGAAAAUUUUUAGGUGUCACAUGUCGGAAUGAUAUCGUGAAGGGUUUUCGGAUACUAAUAAAAAACAAAUUACAUAGCUCGUCUAGAAACUGUGAGACAAAUUUAUUAAGCCUAAUUAAUCCAUCAUUAGCACACGUAGGUUAUUGUAGCAAUUAUAGGCUAAUCAUAGACUAAUUAGGCUUAGAAGAUUUGUCUCAUGAUUUAUAAGUAAACUAUGCAAUUAGUUUGUUUUUGUAUAAAUCUAACGCUCUAUGUAUGUAUCUAAAGAUUCAAUGAGAUAGAAAAAAAAAUUUAGGAUAAAAAACUAAAGGAAAAGACUACUUCACCACCUCAACUAUGGGUGGUGGACUACUUAACCCACUCAAUUUUGAAACCGGACGUUUUACCCUCUAAACUUUUCAAAAUCAUUCAAAUAACCCCCCUCAGGCGGUUUUCAACAGUGGUUUGCUACAAUAACCAUGAUUUUGCUACAAUAACAGCAGUUUUGUAUUUUUCUUUUUUUAUUUAUUUUAGCUGAUUUUUUGAAAAAUCAUAGAAAAAUUAUAAAAUAAAAAAUCAAAUUUGUUGGACUCCAUAUGAGUAGAUCUACACAGUGAAUAUAUAAUGUGGCAUACUUUAGUACAAAGUUUUUGCUGUAAUUUUAUAGAAAAUAAUAUGGUGAUCUUGAUCUAUUAUUUUCUGUGAAAUUAUAGCAAAAACUUUAUACUAAAUUAUGCUAUAUUAUAUAUAUAUAUAUAUCUACUCAUGUGGAGUUCAACAAAAUUGGAUUGUUUAUUUUUAUGAUUUUUCUAUGAUUUAGUACGAUUUUUCAAAAAUUCAGCUAAAAUAAAUAAAACAAUAAAACCGUUGCUACUGUAGCAAAAUCAUAGUUACGGUAGCGAAACCACCUUCAAAAACCGCCUAAGGCCUUGUUUGGAUGUUGUCGGAUUCACUUCAAUCCAUGUGUGUUGGUGUGGAUUGGAGUGGAAUUUAGUUCAAAUUCCACUCCAAUCUACCUCAACACAUGUGGAUUGAUGUAAAUCCGACUACAUACAAACAAUGCCUAAGGGAAUUAUUUGAACGAUUUUGAAAACUUCAAGAGAUAAAACAUUCGGUUUCAAAAUUAAGGAAUUUAAGUAGUUUAGCUCCAUAGUUUGGAGAGUGAAGUAGACUUUUUCCAAAAACUAAACCAGGCCUAAGCUGAGUUGUCCCCCUCGUCCCUCAAACCAGCCCACGAGGCCAAGACAAUACACGUGCUGCUUCAACUAGUCUAUUCAGCGAAGCACGGUUGCCCCCCCACACACACACACAAGAAAAAGGAAAAAAACGCUCCAAGCUCAAAGGGAAGGAGGAGGCAGAGAAAAAUAAGGAAAAAUAAAUACAACCCAAUAAAGAGUAGAAAAAAAAUAGAGAUCUUGUCUAGUUCGUGAAAAAUUUUAAAUUUAACUAUGGUAGUAUUUUUAUUUGUAUUUAGUAACUAUAACCAUAGACUAACUAAAUUAAAAAAUAAAUUAUAUAAUUAGUUAUUUUUUAUCUAUAUUUAAUGUCUAUGUAUGUGUUUAAAGAUUUAACGCAACAAAAAUUUUGAAGUUUUUUGAAACCUAAACAACAGCAGAAUUGCAGCAUGCUAGCGCAACAAGGGAGAAAGAAGGGUCAGUAGUACCAGUACCUACCACAAAGAGCGUGAGGUGUCGCUGUCAUCCACAGGCGCAGCUCCACGCCAUGGCUGAGUCACCCCCCUGUGUCCAGUCCUAGCACAUCCGGAUCCCCCGGGCUCCGGCGGAUAACGCCACCACCCCCUCUCUCGCGCGCCGAUCGUCGGUCGGCUCGGCUGGGAGGAUCUCCCGCGCUCUGCCUUUUCUUUUUCUUCUCCCCUGCCCCUGCCGCGUCACCCACAGCUGUUGCCCGGGCCUCGCAAGCUACCUCUUGCCGGCUCCGCCUGACACCGGGGGCCCCGCGCCCCGCCACCUCCUUCCUGCUAUAAAUACCGCGCGGAUCUCGCCUCCGGAACCAGGCCAUCGCUGUUGCCCUGUUUGUUCUUGGACCUCUCUGUUUCAGUUCUUCGUGCUGCCAUUUUCGUCAAGGCUAGCUUCUUCUUCUUCUUCUUCUUCUUUUCUCGCGCAGCCGAUCCGUCGGAGAAGAAGAUGACGAUCACCAUUGAACAGCCUCAGUUCGGUGAGCUUCUGUGUUUCGUUUUUUUUUUCCUUUGUUUGUCAGUGCCUUCUCCCUGCUUGGCUGGCUACUGUGAUGGGAUGCGAGAAGAUUCGUUUCCUGAAUGAAUGAAUGAACGAAUGAAUGGUCAUGGUGCAGAUGCGGUGGCGGAGAGGAAGGUCCCCGCCGGCGGCGACCCCGCGGAGCUGGUGCUGGACGCCGGCUUCGUCGUGCCGGACGCCAACGCCUUCGGCAAUACCUUCAGGUGAAACAGCCUACGUACUCAUUUCCUACGGUGACGGUGUGUUCUUGGGGCAUCGGCGACGUCAAAACAGAAAAGCCAGCAGCACAGCAGAGAGGAAAAGUAGUAGUGCUCUGUUAAUUUCUCCUUCCGAUCCAUGGUCAAGACGGAAACAGAUGUUUGCUCAAAAAAAAAAAAGACGGAAACAGAUGCGUGACGGCUCUCUCUCCCUCUUGUCUUAUCUUAUAGUAAUAAUAUAAUAAUAAAUAAAUAAAUAAAACAGUCGACAAAUCUACCCUUUUUACAUCGCACGUCGGAAAAUUGAGAAUAAUAAUCGUAUUUACAUAAAUAAAUAUAGCAGCAUAAAAUUAUUUAGCCCAAUCUUGUAACCAUUCAACGGUGUUUUUUUCUUAUAAUAAAUUAGUGAACGGUACAACCAUGACUUCGAAUAUGGCUGUAUUGUAGGACACGAUCUAGCAAGAGGAAUUUGUCAUACCACUGAAAAUUUUGUUAUCAGUAUAUAUGUUCAGAUAAUCAGAUCAGAUGCUUUUUGCAAAUAAAACUGUAUCAUUCAGAACAUAAACGGAGGCCAAGAAUUUCGUGUGUCCGAGGGAGGGAAAAGGAACAUACAAAAAGGACCGUUUUAUUCGUUUGAGCCGGCUAUUUAAUAAUAUUUUUCUCUUAUAAAAAAUUAGCUAAUAGUAUAUUUUAUCAUGAUUUAUCAGUCAAAUAAACGAAACGUAAAUAAUGAACAGAUUGGCAUAUGCUCCCAGACAUUUCUGGAUGUCCACGGCAGUGGCCCCACGUGCACCCAUGAUAUUUUCGUGGUCACUGCCUAUGAUAGAUAACACGAUGGGUUUAUUUAUUUAUUAUCUCUGAUAUUUUCGUGGCCACUGUGCAUACGGUGGAUUUAUUUAUUUAUUUAUUAUCCCCUUUCAUUAUUUUGAUGUACGCGACUAAUAUUUCCUUUCUUUUUCUUUUAAUAAUGAUGAAACAAAGUUUUAGCCGUGUGGCAUGGAUUAGUUUGAUUUUUUUUAUGAAAACUGAAACGAAAAGAAAAAGCAGGAGCUGAAUCGGGAAUCCUGAAUUAAAAUUUAAAAAAAAAACACUGCUGCUGCAGGAACUACGACGCGGAGUCGGAGCGGAAGCAGACGGUGGAGGAGUUCUACCGCGUGAACCACACGAGGCAGACGCACGAGUUCGUGUCGCGGAUGCGGGCCGAGUACGGGCGGCUGGACAAGACGGAGAUGGGCAUCUGGGACUGCAUCGAGCUGCUCAACGAGUUCAUCGACGACAGCGACCCGGACCUGGACAUGCCCCAGAUCGAGCACCUCCUCCAGACCGCCGAGGCCAUCCGCAAGGACUACCCCGACCAGGACUGGCUCCACCUCACCGGACUCAUCCACGGUACUGCUUUCCUUUUGCUUUGCUUGCUGUUGAUCGAUGCAACUGUCAACUGUGUGUCGUUUUUCAGACCUCACCGGACUCACCCACGCAUUUUUCUAACUCUAAUGACAGAGGUUAAUUUUAAUUAAUCGCAUGCCAUUUUUCAGACCUGGGCAAGGUGCUGCUGC
rnacentral:lncRNA from 1 species